rnacentral:lncRNA from 1 species
UUUUUUUUUUUGGUGUUUUCAUUAUUUCCUGGGAAAUGAAUUUCAACAUUUUGAUUGUGCUAGUGUUUACAUCUUGCAAGUUGUUAACUGUUUUGUCUCUAUCUGUUGCUUAAUGAAGCUCUCAUGGUCAAAGAAAAUGGUCAGGAAGUUCUUUAAUAUCAAAAGCAAAAGUGAAGAUUCCCAAGCAGAUGGUGUUCCUUGUGGAGGUUGGUAUCUUCCUUUUCUUCAAAACUCACUUUAUAGUUUAUACCAGUAAUCAGUCUCAACAAAUUAAAGGAGUAAUUAGCAUAGGAUUGAAUCUCAUAAGAGAUAGUGAUGGUAUCACUGUCUAGUUGGGGGUGCCUGAGAAACCAAGGGAAGUAGACAAAUAACAUCAUUUGGAAAGAAAGUUGAAGCCUAGGAUCAUUCAUCAGUUCAAUUUUACCUUUAUCUAAUGCAAAAAAUAAGUUGUGCCAAAUAUUGAAUUAGCUUUCCCUAAGACUUAAAUUUUAUUUUGUAUGGACAUUUAUAGUUUUAUAAUCCCACCGAUUCUGUUUCUUGUCACUACUUCUUGGCAUCAAAACAAAUGCAAGCAUACUUCAAACUCUGAAAAUUUGUUCCCCAAAUCUGGUUCUGCUUAUUUUGAUUUGUUUUCUUAUAUAAACUCAAUUACUGUGGUUUCUUUUUGUGAAUUAGAUGUAUUAACACUGCUUUGCUUCUUCAGGAAGUGAUGUGGAUUACAGAAGCAGGAGUAGCUGCUCUGAGAGAGAGCCACGCACGAUCAAGAAGAGCAAAACAGGUAGAGAAUCACUCAGUUCCAUUUCUUGAACCAUGCUCAUUUGAAGAUCUUGGUAUUAUUUAAGACACUGAGUGACCAAUCAUUGAAAUGAACAGAGAAAUUUAGCAGGAGUGCUGAUCAGGUCAGGCGAGGAAGAAUGAAUCUUGACCAUCCUCGAAUUAUAGAUGUGCAGAACUAUAGGUAUGUUGCUUCUCAGAUUUUACCUUAUUUAUGCAGAAAUCUAGAAAUAAGGCUUUGUUCAAUUCUCACAAGUGUCUCUUUCCUCUGGGAGCAGCAUUUUUGUAGGUUCAUGGAAUGUAGCUGGAAGAUCCCCACCAAGUAAUUUGAGUUUAGAUGAUUGGCUUCAUUCGUCACCACCGGCUGAUAUUUACGUUCUUGGGUAGGGAUUUGUACCUGUCAACGUGUAUUCUCUUCAAUCAAAGGUAGCAUUAACUUUAUCAAUGAUGCAUUUUUUCUUUUUCUCUUCAGAUUUCAAGAGAUAGUUCCCUUGAAUGCUGGUAAUAUCUUAGGGGCAGAGGACAAUGGUCCAGCCAAAAAAUGGUUGUCUCUCAUCAGAAAGACUUUAAACAAUCUUCCCGGCACCAGUGGAAGCAGUGCAUGUUAUACACCCUCUCCCAUUCCUCAGCCAGUUGCAGAGCUAAAUGCAGAUUUUGAGGGAUCAGCAAGGCAGAAGAAUUCUUCUUUCUUCCACCGACGGUCAUUCCAGACAACUUCUAGUGGAUGGGGAAUGGACAAUGAUCCUUCAGUUAUGCAACCACGACUAGAUCGAAGAUACAGUGUCUGUGAUCGUGUAAUUUCCGGUCACAGGCCAAGUGACUUCGAUCCCAGUCUUAGAUGGGGUUAUAGGUCAAGUGACUAUUCCAGGGCAAGUGACUACUCAAGGCCAAGUGACUACUCAAGGCCAAGUGACUAUUCAAGAUGGGGUUCAUCUGAUGAUGAUAACGGCCUUGGAGAUUCACCGAGUACUGUCUUAUAUUCACCAAUGUCUUAUGGUGGACCUGCUGCCUCUAAUGAAGAUGGAUAUGGCAUGCCAGGAAAUUCAAGGUACUGCCUUGUUGCAAGUAAGCAAAUGGUGGGAAUAUAUCUUACCAUAUGGGUGAGAAGUGAGUUGAAAGAUCAUGUUCAAAACAUGAAAGUAUCAUGUGUUGGUAGAGGAUUGAUGGGCUAUCUUGGAAACAAGGUGAAAUUUAAAUCAGUCAUGAUAAUGCUCAUUUAUAUUUCUCUUUUUCUUAGAUAAAUUUUCAGCUAAAAUGACUAUUGAUUGAAAUUAGCUUAAAUAAGCGAUUUUGCUUGUACUUGCAGGGAUCCAUCUCAAUUAGUAUGUCUGUCCACGAAACAAGCUUUUGCUUUAUCUGUAGUCAUUUAACCUCAGGACAGAAGGAGGGAGAUGAACUAAGAAGAAACUCUGAUGUGAUGGAGAUUCUUAAGAAGACAAGGUUUCCUCGUGUUCAUGGUGUGGACAACGAGAAGUCUCCUCAGACAAUCCUUGAGCAUGAGUAAGAAUCUGCUCACACUCAUAUAUUAUUUAAUAAAAUUAUCUUUGUAAUUUAAGGAAUUAAGGUCCCUUGCCAUUAUAAUAUACGACCACCUUGUCCAGGUUUCUAGUGUAUAAUGCAUACACUAACCCUUCAGUUUCCCCUAUGAUUGUAUUCCCUUCUCAUUAAACAAUUGUUUUGCACUUUCUCAUAUUUUUAUUCAUCAAUGUAGUCGAAUUAUAUGGCUUGGAGAUUUGAAUUAUCGGAUUGCUCUUUCCUACCGUUCUGCUAAGGCACUUGUUGAGAUGCAAAACUGGAGAGCAUUGUUAGAGAAUGAUCAAGUAUGUCUGUUUAAUCCAUGUUUAUUGUUUGCCUUGAAAUGUAUAAUUGUAUGACAAGCUUAUGGAGUCUUAAUUAUUGACAUUCCUGGCAGUUGAGAAUAGAGCAGAAAAGAGGUCGUGCGUUUGUGGGAUGGAAGGAAGGGAAGAUAUAUUUUCCUCCAACAUACAAGUACUCAACUAAUUCAGAUAGAUAUGCAGGAGAUGAUAUGCACCCCAAGGAGAAAAGGAGAACACCUGCUUGGUAAGAUCAUAACAUCAUCACCUAAUAGGAAUAGAGAAUGAAGCAUAAAGUAUUUUUGAUAGCUUAUGAUAUAAUUUUUAAAACUGUCUCAACAUAUAUUGCUGAUAUAAGUAUUAUUCUUUUUUUUUAGGUGUGACCGUAUUUUGUGGUACGGAGAAGGUCUCCAUCAGUUAUCUUAUGUCCGUGGGGAGUCAAGGUUUUCAGAUCACAGACCAGUUUAUGGCAGAUUUGGGGCUGAGGUUGUGUCAACUCAUGGCAAAAUGAAGAAAAGCAUGAGUUGUUCUCGUUCCAGAAUUGAGGUGGAGGAACUUCUGCCAUAUUCUGGUGGAUACACUGAGCUAACCUUUUUCUAAAGGAAGGAUGGCAAGAUGUGAGACACUUCCAUCCAAAUCCAAGUACUCUAUCUAUCCCUUAUACACUCUCACAAUCAUGCUUGUAACAUAAUGGAACCUAUUAACUUAGUACGUGUUUGGAAAUUCUUCUACAAUUGAUUCUAAAGCCAAAAUCAAUUAUGGGAAGAAGUUUCUGUGAGUAGCUUCUGAGUGUCAGAAUUAAUUCUGAGGAAAGAGGAGCCGGUUCAAACAUGUGCUCACUCUAAGCGAACCUAGCCGUUCCCCAAAGGAGGCCCUGAGCUUUUUCUUAUAUAAUUGAUGGCUAGACCAAAAGUACAAAAUUCUGAAGCCCUAACUGAUUUAUGUGGGGUUGAACACAAUAGAGUGGAUCCUGCAAUCAAAACAUAGUUAGAGCCUAAAGAAUAUACUCAUAAGAUCUUGGCCCCUAGUGUAUCUUGCUUUACUAGUUGUUCAAAUUGAUUUCAUGAAUUGGGUAAUAUAAACAGAAUAUGCUCAUAGCACAGUCUGAAAAGUCUAUAUAUCUCAAUAUUUUCUGCUUUGAGGGGUCCUUUUGUUCUUUUCCUUUUGUUAUUACAAUUAUUCUUUUCCCCUGAAUUAGAAAUCUUACAUGCACCUCUAUUACUGUUCAGUAAUUGGUCCCCCAUUAUCAAGAGGGAGUUACUUUGAAGAAAUUCAUUCAUGGAGGGAGGGAGAUAGAGACAACCCAUUUCCCACAUACCGAAAAAGGUUAGUUUUAUUCUCUUUCAUGCAUGCUUUUCUUGGUUCUGCUUUUCUCCAAUUUCUUUGUCUAAGUUUACCUCCACUUUACCUUUGUCAGUGUAUAAUUCUGUAGUUUUGGUCUACAGUCCUGCUUUGCCUAACACAUGAUCAAUACAGUACAUUACCAUCAUCACAUUGUUAGCUACUCACACACCAGCUUCAGAACUAUGCAUAAAUUGAUACCCAAUAAACAAAAAUAUAACUUUUUUAUGUGUGUUCUGAUACACGAUGGAAAACCAUGAUUAAGUCAAAAUUCACGGCGAACAACCACAAAAUCUAAGGAAGUUACUUUUGUCUACCGUGAUUUUGGCUAACAAUGGUUUUUCAUCGCAUAUCCAAACUUGCACAUGUCUCACCAUACCUGCAUUUAUAGUGCUUCCUAGUAAGUAGAUGUUAAAAUUGUGAUUAUUAAUGCUAGUUGAUGAUGCUUAUUUCAAUUAAGAGCAACAUUCCUUACUAAUGAUCAAAGGUUUUUUGCUUGUGCAGGAAGUUGAAGAAAACGAUUCUUUUAUUCAAGAUUUUUUUAUAGUUUUAGGAGAACAUCUGAUGGCUGAUUACAUGAAGGUUGAAGAUCGUCAGAAAAAUCAUUUAGAGGACUAACUUUUUUUAAUGCAAAGUGAAUGAGAGUUUUGAUGUAUAGUGAUUUGAUUGCAACAGUAUAUGAGAAAAAAUAGGAACAAGAAAAAACAAAAGAAAUUGAAGUUGAUGAUAGAAUUUCAGAACCUCUCUUGCUCAAUUCUCUGUCUCUGUCUCUGUCUCUUUCUGCUUGAUUAAAAUUUUACUGAUAAAGGUAGCUUUGACAUCAAAAGCAAAUAGUAGAUCACUUCUUCUGAGGCUCUUAUUUUCACUAAUGAGAGACACUAUUUUUUAACAAACUAAAGAGGUUUGGAAGGAAUAAUAUUGGAGGCCCCUCCCCUCUUCUUCCAAGAUACUACUUAUAUUCCUGUCAAUUGCUGUUUACUUUUGACUAGGUGGACCUUACUCACUUUACCUUUGAACUUGUUUUUUGUGUGUAUAUCUAUUUAGGAUCCCCAAGAAAAGUUGAAAUAAUAACAAUCACGAUCAGGACGUAACAGAAAAAGACAAAUGCUAAUAUAUGAAAGGAAAUAUGAAUUUUGUGCAUGAUUAUUUUUGGCUCUGCAGACAAUGAAAAAUUGUGUCAGACCUUAAUGAGAUCUCAACAGUUCAACAACCCCUUUGUAUGUGUGGUUGCUAGAGAACCACUUCAUAUCACUCAUGUCAUGUGCUAAUAUACUUAGAUGGAAAACUUAGGAAUAGUAAAUGGAACUAUGCAAGUCACAAUGCCUAACCAAAUGGAGUUGCAAAUGAGGAGAGUAAAAUAAUACUUCACUAUAAUUAUUUAUUUGAGUAGCCACAAAGAAAACAUAGUUUCAUAAGAAAUAUAAGAUACUUGUGCAAAAAUGUGAUUAGAUUGUGCAGACUUGAACUAUGGAGCGUGGAGAAGAUCUGAUUUACUGUGUUUUCCAACUUACAUGCAAAAACAUAGUAUGUUUGGAUACAUGUUUGAACCUCUUAAAAUCAUUUUCCCCACCAUAACAGCUUCUUUCAGAAUCACUUCUAUCUAUAACAUGAAAAACUGACGAGUUUCCAAACAUACAUUCAAUUGUUGCACUGAAAGGUUGGAAAUAAGACAUUGUUUCUGCAAAGACAGUCAAACAUUUAUCAGUUUAAAGAAAAAAAGGUUAACAUGAGGCCCACUAAAGACUAAAGUAAUUGAUCAAAGUUUAUGCUAAUGGACUCAAUCCAGCUACGGAGUUGCAUUUGGUCCUAUUUUCAAGAGAAAAAUUGGGAGAAUUGUGUAAAAUUAGUUUGUCCUUGCAUCAUUACAUUGUGACAGUGAAACAUGAUAUUUGCACAAAUUCCAAAUUUCAUUUUUAUGGUUCCAGUUCCACAAUUCAUCAAACAUUUUUUUGAAGAAGCAAAGCAGCAAAAUGACAAGGGCUUGUCUCUAUUGAGGUAUUACCUGUUCUUUGUUUCGUUGUAACUGGCAACUGGUCCCUGAUUUUGACCUUGCUAGUGGGGAACCAUUUCAAAGGAUUUCAUCUUUGGUGUUCUGAUAGAGAUUUAGCAUGCCAUAAGGACUGAAAAAGAUCAUUUGUGUCCUGUGACUUUUCUUGGUGCUCCUGCAGUGUCUCAGCCCAUGUCUAUUUUUUUCCUGCAGCUUAUGGUAUAAUUGACCAAGCUGGUGUGCUGACCCUGCUGACACCAGCACUUGCAAUUCUUCAUAAUGGCUGGGAAUCAUUCCUCUUUGAAUUGUGAUGCAACUACUUCUAGAAAUGAUUGUUUAUAACUCAGUUCAGAGAAAUGUUUGCAUGAUGCCAAGCAGAAUCACUAAGUAUGCAGAGGGUUGACAAAUAACUUAUGUAUAAAAGUUAAAAAGAUUCUUCAUGCUGUUUAACACUCAUGAAAAAUCAUGGCAACUCUAUCAGCAGGCUGUUAAUGUUCACUUUCUUCAAAAUAAAUUGGAACUUAAUUGGUUUCAAGUUUUUUGUCAUGAGUAGCAUGGACAAAAGAGUUGGACACAGUAUAAUAAUAAUAGCCUUUAGCCUCUUCUGCUUCCAUUUGUGAAAAAUUAGAUUAGUUAACUUCAAUGGAUGAGGUUUAUUGAAUAACUCAAGAAGAUAGUUCAUGGAUAUGAAAAAUUGACCCUUUUAAAUACAACAAUGAAAUUCUGACCAGAACCAGAAAAACUAUAUAUAUGAAAUUAAAUUGUGAUGAUAUCACUUUGUUAGUGUACAAAUUUUAAAUAAUAUUUUUAUUGGUGCCAGAAAGUUACUCUUGAAUCUUCUAUAACUUCAAUAACUUAUCCAUGUGCAAGUUAGUUAUGUGAGUUAAUUAACUAGUUGUAUCAGCUUAGUUAGAGGAAGUCAGUAGAUUCUGUUAUAGUUUUAUUCUUCAGCUAGAUAAUAACAACAUGUAUAAAUAGAGCUAAUAUUCUAUUGUAGAUACCUCAAUGAUGACUAAUCAGUUUUUCAGAUCCUUCAUCUACAACAUCUUCCAUUUUUUUUUUCUUGUACAAGAUGUUUUACUAUAUGGAACGUCGAUCUUUGUUCGUGAGGCUCCAAUGUGCAUCGAAGUUCUUCUAUCUUCAAAAUGGCCCAUCCUAGCCUUAGCCCCAUAUGGGUCAGGGCCAAUUACCCCAGGACUAAAGAGCUCCACACCAAAAAAGUAUACAGGGCCAAAAGCCCCGUGGGCCAGUGCUAGCCCAUAAGCCCUCUAAUUUUCAAAAAUCUCUCCCUCCCUCCCUCCUUUAAUUUCCUUGGUUUAAUGCAUUAUGCACACCAAGUUUUCUUUUCCCUCUGUACAGUAGCUGCUAUAUGUCUGCUAUCUUUCCUCUUUUCUCUUGUUGGCUAGUUUUAGUGUUUCUUUCUUUAUCAUUUUAUUUCUUUCUCUUAUAUAUUAAGUUGAAGUACCCUUUAUACUUCAUAUUCAAUGCAUUAUUAUUAUUAUUUGGCCUUAAAAAAAGGUUCUCUGAGAACCUUUUUACACACUGGUGAAUUAACAAUUGAGCCUUGCCAUCUUUCUUUUUAGCUGUUAAAUAAAAUACAGUAAUGAAGUAGCCCUUUAAAAGUUGCACCAGAUUUAUAGCUGCAUGUCUUCCGAGUAUACAUGUGAUUGUUUUGCAGAGGAGUGUAGGACCUCUCUGUAUUCUUGCUCCCUAGCUUGUAUGUAUGGUUUUAUAUUUGGGCUUUAAUUUAAUUAAUUUGCUUCAAAUAAAAGCCUAGCUAGACUAUGCUGCAGUUAUUAUGGAAGAUUUCCUUCAAAUUCAAGGGCGAGUAAAAUUGGGGCUUUGCUCAUGUUAAAGGAGACAUCAUGUCCUUCCUAUGUAUAGCUAGCUAGCCUUAUUAUAUUACUCAUUUAAUAUAUAGUAGUACAUUAGUACAUGCAUGUGUAACUCAAAAUAUAUGGAAAGUUAAUUGGAUUUGAGGGAAAAUCAGGCUACAUCAUAGAUGAAAUCAUUUGCAUAUUUAACUGAGCCUAAUCCAACCUUAGCUAACUUAUCCAAUUGCAUGAAUCAUUUUGAUUUAAUUUCUCCACUAUGAAUGAGUUAACUAUAUACGCUUUACAACAGAUAUAAAUGAUGAUAAUCAUUGUGGUUUAAAGUAGUUUUGGCUUUCCAAGAACCAAUCUCAGAAGGGUCAAAACAAUGCUUAAAGUUCCGAUAUGCUUAUAAAACAAUUCAGGUAGCUGGAUUUACGUGUAGUAAUGCUCAAACAAACAAUGAUGGCUAAUCUAGAACACAUGUUGCAUCGGAUGGUUUUGAUGGGAAUGGGAUCUAUGUAAGACUUCUGCAUAUAUAAUAUGAAAUUCAUUGGGUCCGUUUUCAUUGAAACUGAAAGAUAACUAAUUUUAAGCGAAGCAAUGGGGAUGAAUUGAAGCUAGAAUGAAUGUAGUAGCUUUUGUAUUUGCAAAAUUAUUUAAAGAUGAAUUAUUUGCCCUGUUUUCCUAAUUCCUACUUGAGUGGGGUGUUAUCAUGGCUCUGUUUUGAUGAAUAUAAAUUCUCAUAAUUUUUUUUUUAAAAAAUGAUAUGAACCUUGGCGGAACAUUAAAGAUAGUUUCAAGUGAUUUUACGGUCACAUGUUUGACUUAUGAAAUUAAAUCUCUGUAAAAAUGUAAGGUAUGAACCGUCUACAAUAGAUUCAUAGUGAAUUCGCGCAUCCUUGGACCUUGCACAUGACCUUGCGCAUAACCGUAACUUUAUAGGACCAAAUUUUUUUAAGAGGGGCGUGUCCUAACGCAACGAUAAAGUUACUACCAUACAAUAUUGUGGUCAUAAGUUCAAUACAUUGAAUCAUCUUUAUUUAGUGAAAGAGAGAUGACCUAAAUGACCAAAGACCCAAUAACAUUUCUAUCCACCCAAAGAUCUUGUGAUUACGAGAGCACCAUAGAAACAGAAGAGAUGAUUUAAUAAAGAACAUCUCAUCCCAAUAAGUCAACAACGGCCGAGCGGCGAAACCCUGACCUACUUAUUAACUGUGAUUGUCAAGGGGUAGACAUCUCUAUAGAUUAAUCCAUCCACAUAAUCUUUUUAAGUAUAAACAUUUUUUUUUCUCAGUAUAGACAAGUUUAGAAAUCUUCAACAUAAAUAAUGACGCAAUCAGUUGAAUUUUCCCUGAGAAGCUAGAGAAGUAGCUUACGCACUUUUCUGUAGAUAACAAACCAAACAUGCAGAAUCGUACACUUGAAGUUCAACAACUACUCGUUAUCUGCUACAAACUCUGAUUCUUACUCUGUAGAGGUUAUAAUGACUGUGCUAUUUUAAAGCAAUCAUUCUCUCUACAUCCCUACUUCUCUGUCUCUCACUGAUAUGAAAUCUCAAGGUUAUACUAUCAGUGCCUUUUCUGCAGUGUUCUUUCAACCAGUUUCUUGGGAAAUUAAUUAAUGUUUUUGGCUAACUUUAAUCACUUUGCUUCUGCUUUGCAUUUUGGUCAAAUUUAGCUUCUUCUCUGUUAUUACAUGUACAAGUCUUAUUUGGUACAUGUAUGACACGCGUUUCUUAAUCAUUUGUAUCUCUCCUGGUAUGUUAUCUCUGUCCUUGGCCAUUUGUCAAGUUUAGAUUAGAUUGCAAAAUUGCACUGUUUCAUUUGUCUCUUGCAUGGUAUAUAUAUUUUUUUCCCAUGCCACCAUUUUUCAAAUUGCAUGAAUCAAGCUUUGUUUUUUCUGUUGUUAAAAUUUGGUUCUCUGCUUGCACGAGUCACUAUCUUCAUCUCCAGAGGAUCAACAUCAAAGACUUGAAGAAAAACCAUAGAGAAAAGAAGAACCCUUUGUGGAUCCGUUUUGCCACUAAGCAAACUUUGAACCAAAGAGUUAUUACUCUGUCUCUCUUUUUUCUGGGUUAAUUUUUCAAAUACUUUGUUGUAAGCUUAGUUUUAUUUUCUCAUCUCCUGAUCAUAUGACAUUCAUGUGUUCUCUUAUCAGAAUGGUAAAAUAAUGGCCUACAAUGCUGGCAAGUUUGCUACUGAAGAAUGUUGCAUCCAUCUUCUUGGUAAGGCACUAAGGCCCAUCUCAGAUCUUCCAUAUUGUGAUGUCUAUAAGUUUCUAUGUUUUUGCAAUGCCUCGUUCAGUUAGUUAGCUUAACAAUUUAAGUCCUUGAACACCAAAAAAAAAUUGGAGAAAUGAUUUUCAUACUAUUCUUUACGGUAAAAAAACAUGAAUAAUGCUCUCGGCUUAUACUUAUGUUUUUUUUGAAAUGUAGUCACAUUAGUUUUCAAUCUAAUUGUUUGAUAUGACAACUUCUCUUUCAUCAAAAUUAAUUCUAGCUCCACAUGCUAUAGAAUUUUUUUUCUAUGAUUAAUUUUGGCUUUCAAGCAAAUCAUAAAAUUAAAUGAGACUAAUAGAAAAAUAAAUAGGAAUUUCAUUCAUAUUUAGUUAUUUACAGAGUGCAAAAGAUUAAUACUUUUUCUUUUGAAACUAGAGAGCAAAGAUUAAUAUACAAAAUAAAAUGAUGAUGAGAAUGAAAAUGGGGUUGAUUAAAAAAUAUCAUGAUGUUUUUUUUCUUUGGUCAAGGGUUACUCGAUUACGGGGCUCAGCCCAAAGAGAGAGGGGCCAGGGCCCCGUGUACAUGUAUGAUUUUUGUUAACACCCGAACCACAAAAAUAAACUAAUGCUUCCGUGGUAAUGUUUUGGACUGGAACUUGGGCUCAGGCCCAAUAACCCAUUAUAAAAUCCAGGUUAAUAUCACUUGUUAUUUCAGCCAUACAUAUAUUUCUAUGCUAAAAAUUGACUAAUGAUUUUGUCCAAAAAAAAAAAUUGAUUAAUGAUGAAACCUGAUAUUUUGACCAAAAAAAAAAACCUGAUAUAGUCACUUAAAAAAUAUAAAUUAUAAAGCUAUAUAUAGAGGACAACACUAGUUUAUAGUCAUAUAUGAUCCUUGAGGUUGUUAUUAUUUGGCUUCAUUUAAACAUCAUAGUGACUUUGCAGGUAUGCUACCCUGAUCACUUUGCCGUCAGCUCCUGUGCAACAAGACAUGUUCCAAAUUACCAUAUCAAAAAAUUGGACCAAAUCAGGUAAUUUACCCUGCUUAAAAACUGGCAUGAUCAUUUCACCUUAUAAUCUGUCUUUUAUACUUAAUUAAGCCCAAUACAUUCACUCAGGAGUAAUUCUAUCUAAUCUGGGAUUGUUUGCUUAAGACAUUUUGGAUCAGAUUUUAUUCCAACAAAGCUCAAUUUAUCCACACAUACUUACAAGUAUAUUUGGCGCUCGCGCUUACAAGUCCAACUAAGCUAUGAAAAAAAAUUCUGAGUUGAUUUUGUUUUUAAAUGUCAUUACACUAAACAUGAUAGUAGCCCUUCCAACUAAUCAUUAGGCUGACAUGAAAUUACCAUAUACUUUCAGUUCAAGGAUUACAUACAUCAUGAAUGCUCCAUUUAGAGUCAGGGACUGACCUAACUACUUAUCCAAUAUCCAACUCCAUAGUCAUUUCACAGAACCUUCACUGGGUUACAUGUAAUUAAUAACUGAGAGUUAAUAGCUAUACUAGGACGCUGGGUAGGGAACAAGGAUAUUAAGAUUGUUAGAUUGCAAUUGGUUGUGAAGGUGAAUCAGGGACUUGCCCCAAGUUGGAGGCCAUGAGUCCAUGACCCUUUUGGCCUAUUUAAUUUGCUCUAUGUAUUAAAAGCAAGGCAGGGGAUAGCUCUAGUCUAUUUCUUCCUAGUAGUCGCAAUCUGCUACAGGAGAUGUCAUUUUUGGAUGAAAGCUCUAUCUCCAUUGAUGUAAGAGAUACAAGAACAUUGCUUAAAUCCCCUUCAAAUAUACUGUCGGCAUGAUAUUUUGUUCUUGAUCUAAUUGUUGCCGAUUGAACCUAAGGCUUUUAGUUCAUCCACAUCUUUUCAAACAUUAGCUUUCCCACCAUAAAGUUUAGUCCACAUGAAGAUAAUUGUAUGCUACAGGUUUCUUCAUUGUUUGAUUAAAGCUAUUCUUCAAUAGUACCAAAUAAUUUAAACUUCUGGUUUAUCCGUUGUAGUCGGGAAUUGGCGUCGAGGAAUUAAAUGUGAAUUAUAGUCUCACAUUAAUUAUGAAUAAGUAAUGUGAAAAUAAUAUAAGAAAUAUAACUCAUAAACCUAAUGCUUAAGAUUAUAAAUAAAAGUAUGAUAUCCGACUUGUUUACUUGUCCCAACGGCUUCUUCGGAGGCUCCCUAAUAAUUGAAGCCUUAUUAACCAAGGUAGGUUUUGACUCUCUUUGACUUCCGCAAUUUCUCUAUCAAGCAAGAACACUAAGGCUUAAUUUAAUUAGUUUUCCUCUUAUAAUUAAAAAUAGACUUAAAUAUAUUUUAAUAUUAGACUUUACUUUAUAAGAGGAAUCAAAUUGGAUCAAUGUCUUUUAAAUCAUUUUCAUAUAUAGCUAAAAUUUACGUGAGGAAUAUAAGCUAAUAUUUCUAAAAUUUAACAAACUGAAACUAAUGAAAGCUUGCAAUCAAUACCACUUGAUCAUUCUAAUAUUUGUAAGAUUAUUACUGUAUUUUCAUUUAUAUAUACAUAUCGAAGAUUUCGUGUGACGGGGACACUAAUCUCUAUCCUCAUUCACUAAUUUUUUCAGGUGAACUUUUGUCCUCAUCUCCAUCUCACAGGUAAAAUUCCUUGAAGUCGGCCCCCAAACAGAAGAAUUCCCGCAAAAAUUCUCAUCUUCAGGUAAAAAAAAUUGAUACCUAAUCUAGUUUGUGUGGUUAGGGAGGGACUUAACUUAUUCCUAUUUGUGAUUGGCUAGCUUGCAUUUCACUAUUUCGUACUUUAUUCUUCCUAUCAAACAAAGCGGCACUUUUAUAAUUCACCGUGACAUCAUAAUUUAGAUUCAUAGUCUCGGGUUAACGCCUAAUUAAUUUUCAAUACUCACACGGGUAAGUUGAAACAUUGAGUUGAAACAUUGAAGCACCGCUGGUUUUACUAUAUGCAUGCUUGGAUGAUCUUUUGGGUGUAUGAGAAAAUAUUUAUACCAUGAGUCCAUGAUAGUACAUGAUUGCUGGGGCUUUGCAAAGUAUGGGAUAGGGUUGUUAAAUUUGAACCACUCCACCACCUGUGCCUGUUCUAUUUGGAGUGGGUUAAUUAAUGCUUGCUUGGACAUGGGGACAAAGCUAUGAGACAAAAUUUAUGAAUUUAAUUUGGGAGGUGCGUGGGUUCUCUAUGUAUACCCCACUUUCAGAUCACCCAUUUGAGAUAUUAUAUAAAGAUAUUUAAAAUUGAUUUGAUUUCUUCAAUUUGAUUGUGAAUGUCUGCUGUUUACUGAUAUUAGAAACUCCUGUUUCCUAAUUUGCAAUACAAUAUCCAUCCUUAAGAUAUAUCAAGUACAAAUCUAGGAUAACAAGAUCCAAUAGAAUAUUUGUGGGGUUAUAGAUGAGUAAGGAAUGCAAUUUCCCUUUGGGAAUAGAGCAUGAAAGGGCUAAAAGUUAACGUUGGAUUGCUUAGCCCACUACUACUAGUAUUUUGGGUUUGGUUGCCAAUUUCUUCUCACAACAGUUUUUUCCCCCAAUAGUUUCCCUUCAACAGACAGUUCUAUGGUGCUUUAUAUUUUGGAUUUAUUGUUAUUUCAAAGGUUUUAAUAUGGGAAAUUGUAUAGUGAACCAUUUUAAAACCGAAACCGAUUUAUUCAUGAAUCGUGUUUUACCAUCAACAUUUAGCACAUAUGGUUACAAUAUGUGCUAUUGUUCUUUAUGUGUUCAAAACUAAUUUAUAUUCAUUAAAUCUUUAUUAAAAUAUGAGAAUUAUUUAAAAUUUAUAUUCUUUAAGUGACUACAGUAUAUUAAAUACUCUUUUCACUAUGGUUGAUGUUGGGAUUUGGGGAUCUCUGUGUUGUUUUGGCUAAUGAGAGCAAAUCAAGAGUGAGUUGAAUACAAAAUGACACAUAUUUUAGCCAAAAUCUUAAGGUUAAGGUGUAUGGACAUUACACCUUUCACUCAAAACUUUAACACACUGAGUGUAUGAGUCAUUUCACUUACAAAAUGUUAACACUUUUCUUUUCUUCUAAUGUGAGACUUAUUCACAUUUAAUAUCUCAAUGAUUUGAUUUCCAAUAAGAUAAAUUUUGAUUAUGGUCUAGUUUGGGAUAUGCAUAUGCUAAGACUGACUUCAUGGGUUGAUUUUUCUUUUUUUAAUUAUCUCACUUUCUCUCACAUCACAUCACAUAUCAUAUAUAUCACUUAUCUUUUUUUUUUUCCUAUCUCACUCUAAAUGUCUGCAUCAUGUCAUUCUUCACCAAACAUUUUCUUGAUGAUAUUCAUUUUCUUUUAAAGCCAAAGAGAAAAUAUAUUUAACAUAGCACAAAUGGUGCUAUAACCAAAUACACAAUAAUCCAAUAUGCAUUAACAGCACCUUCUCAAGAGCCAAACAUCAACACCUUCUUAAUGAUAUUUAUAUUGACUAUAGGAAUCAAAAACUUUUUUAACAACCUCAUUUCUAUCUUAUCAGUUGAACCAGCCUGAUUUACAUGUACUGUAAAAUUUAAAUGCUAAUUUGCACAUGGGUUAAGAACCAAAAGUGACAGUAGAGCUGGGUCUCCACUUGCAGGUUAUAUUGCUGCAACCCUUGAUAACAAGCCAGCAAAAAACCCUAACCCACCACCAGAAUAAGAACAAACACAUAUAACAUAAAUAAGCCAAAGUUAUUAAGAAAACACAAGCGUACUUCAACCCAUAUAAAAGAGAAACAAGCUAAAGAUGUAAGCAUAGAUGCACCCCAACAAAAACAUAGUGACCCACCCCCUACUGCUAAAAAAACACCCUGUAAUAGACAGCCUCAAAUGCAAUAAGAGAGUCUACAAACCAUCCUACAAGUUGGCAGCAGAUAACAUCAGAACAAACACAUAACAUGAUUAUAAGACAAGCCUACUGUAACAAAAUCAUAGGUCAGUUGUAGGUUAUAUUGUUGUAAACCCUUGAUAUACUUCCAUUUUCAUUCUUCAAAUAAUAGUUAGCUAGGGCAUCAUAGAUUAUCGUGCCCUCCAUGAAAAUAACAUCAACAUAUGUACAGACCCUAAUAGGUAUUCUAUCAAAAUGAAGAAACUCAAAUCAAACACAUCCAACAUUCUUUUGUGUGCUUGCUUGCUUAUGAUCAUGAAUGUCAUCCCUUCUGUUUCUCUGAAAUCAGUUCUCUUGAAGCUCUAGGUUCAAGAAGACAUUAUUCCAUUGAAACCAUAAUUUCAGUUUGUUUUUAUUGGCCAAAACAAUUUAUUCAUAAUUGAAGAAUGAGGAGAAGGUGUAUCCAAAAUAAAGAAGCAAAAAGGAACAAAGUUAAGAACAACUUGCCCACCAUGUCACUUACAUGGCACCAUUAUUUAAACAACAAGCUGGAUUAGACUCCUAGCAUGACAAAGGAUAACGAAGAAGCUUAUUUCUGGUCCUGAACCACUACCAAGAAUCAUGGAAAGCUUGGUUUGCCAACCCUGUAAGCUGUGGCAUAAAGACCAGAUUCAACACUCAAACUCAAGAUAAACUUUCUCUUGUAACAAUAUUGAUCUUAUUUAAACACCAGUUUGCCCUGGAAGGCAUAUAUACACAUAAAAUUGUACUGGAUUUUCAUCACCUGGUCAUUUGGCUCAAGUGAUGAGUAUAGAAUUGACAUAGAUGUCAUAAGUUCAAGUGGUGGUCAUCAACUUUUUUUGAAAGCCAACAAAACAAUAAUAUACAAAUAAAAUUGAAUAUAAGUUGUACCAACUAAAACAACAAACAUUUUGAAAUAUUGAAAGAGCGCCCAAAACAACAAUAUUUAUGGAACGGAGGAAGUACAUUAGAGAUCAAAUACGUCUACAAAAUAAAUAAAAAACUGUAAAAGCCCAACAACAUACAAGCUUUAAUUAAAUAUCAUCAUCUUCAUCCUAAACAUCAUCUUUCAUACCUACUAAAAGCAACAAGUUUUAUUAGAUUCCCGACAAAAGAAAUGUAUACUGAUCUGCUAGUGGUAAUAACUCUUUGAUAUAUACAUCAAGAAAUGAAACUUCAUAAACUGCAACGAUCAGUUCAUCAAUUACUACACUAUGACUUCUCAGAAAUUGUGCAUGUAGUAAUAUUAACUAGACAUGCUCCAACAGAACAUCAGUAUUCUCCUGAUCCAAGGUCCAUUUCUUGUAGAAUAAUCAACCCUAAUAUAAAGAUUGGGGAAAAAGGGAAUUGGAAAAUAGAAACUGUACAAAAUAGAGAAAUGAGCUGUUGUACUAUAGAUUGUAUACAUAGUAAUGAAAUUUUUUUUCGAAAGCAAAACAAUUUAUUCAAUAAAUUGAUAAAUAAUCCUUCUCAAUUGGAUAUGGCGCCCAAUUGAUCUCAAACACCCCAGGAAUACAAAUAACAUAAUGGCGAAUCAAAUGGGAAACAUAUCUGCUCAUUUGACUCUAACACAAAAGAUCCCUCCAAACAACAUCACUAUAUGAGAGAAAUGAAUACAUAGUUAUACUUGCAUACAUAGUUACCAUAUAAAAGGCCACAUGUAGGCUUGCAACUUAAUUUAUGUUUUAGUGAAAGAGCUUUGACAUGGAUAAUUUACAACGAUUGGAAUUAGAGAUUGUUUGGAUACAAAUCAAAGAGCGCACUUAUUGGAACAUAUAUAUUAGAAAGUACAAUGAAUGAGGUCCAAAAAGUGCUCUUAAGUGUGUAUCCAAACUGUAUCCUCAUGUUCAAGACUAAAUAACACAAAGUAAUAAUGGAUAAUAUCACCAAUAAACUCUUCUCCCUGUGUUUUUUUAUAAGCAUAGAUACAGCAGCUAUGCAUUGGCUCUAUCAUCAUGGUGAUCCAAUGGUUUGCACCAAUUUAUCAAUGACCUUUGAAAAGAAAUGAAGAUUUUUUCCUAAAAAAAUUGAGGAAUGCCAACAAGACACUCUUUUAAAUAAACUCUUAACACAUUUUAAUGAAAUUGGUCUAUUUAUAAGAUACUCAACAUAUUUCUCACUUAUUAAAAAAUGUGUUGCCUUUUCAAAAUUAAACCAAUCACAUUGAAGUGGGUUAAGAAUGUGUUUAAAAGAGUGUGUUACUAGCAUUUCUCAAAGAACUUUCCAAGAAAAUAAAUUGAUUGCAGUUAAUCAUUUAUAAUUAUUAUAAAUAUUUUUUUUUUGAUAGGCAUUAUAAAUAGUUAAUGUUCUUCAUUUUGUUCUAGGUAUUUUCCUUUUUGAAUAUCAAGCAUUGUAUAUAUUGUGGUCUUGGUGUUUCUUUUUUUCCUGUUUUUAGCAGCAGGGAGUGAAUUCUUCAUAAGGUGUUAUAGCUUUUGUUGUAUUGGAUUAGGUUUUUGUGCAUUUCAUCCACUUGAGAGGGUUAGUCCCAAGUUUCUAUCUAUUAAGUAAAAUGGUCUUUUGCUUUAAUUAAAAAAAUUCUUCAGUUUAUGUUUGUAUUUUAAAAAAUUAACUUAUUACACACCAAAACAUUAACUAUAAUUUGUAAUGUGUAUGAUUUUUAAUUUAGUUAGGAAAAGCUACAAGAAUAAGGAGCUCUUUGUAACUUCAAAUUGGUACUCAGAGACAAAAUUCUGUUGAAGCAAAACAAACCACCUGGUAAGUUCAUUGUAUGAUUGAUCUCAGAACUUCUGUAAAAUUGCGGUGGUUAACUUGCUUCCAUGCUUGCUAAAUUCUUAGAGCUGAAAUAGUACAAGUUAGUCAAAGCCCAACAGCUACUAUUAGGUUAUAAUGCAAAAAGAAAAAAAAAAGCUGAACAUUUUAGUUUGCUCCUGAUCAUUCUUUUGUUCUUGUACCAAUAUAUAGUAGAUCAGAGCUUUCACCAUUGAAGAUUAGCCAAUUAAAUAAGUAAAAUACUAAAAGCAGCUAACAAGUGGAGAAUGGAGAUCCAGUACUUUAUGAGAACUUUGAUAUGCCAUUGGCUGAUUAUCAGCAAGAAUCAGUACAAACAUUGUAAAAUGGGAAAAACAGCUAGGGCAGAAAAAGUUACUGAUAGAGAACACAGGAAGAUGUGAUGAUUACAAGGAAAAAGCACUAGAGGGGAUUUCAUUCUGAUCAGAUUUUACCGAAAACUAGCAAAUUAGUGUGGGACUCUGAUAGGUGCUCUCCUCCCAAGAAUUUCCAAAGAUUUGUUGGAGCUCUGAAUUAAAUCAUGAUCAAGACCCCAAAUUAUUAAAACAUCAUGACUAAAAAAGCCUAAAAUCUCAAGUAUUUGAGAAAACAAUACUUACUUAAUUACCACUGGUUCAUGAAACAUGUAGAGAGAUUCAUGUUCAUGGUGGCUAUUUCCCAAUUUGGGGUAGUGGAAUAGGGCUGCAAUAGAGGGUAGUCAAUAUAGUUGUUGUUGAAACCUGCUUCCUUAUUAGGGAUUGCAAGGUGAUGGUUUUCGUGGGGAUGAGAAUUAGAAGACAUCAUGUUCCUUUUUAUCAUGAUAGAUUCCUCAAUCACAUUAAACCCAUCUCCACCACCACCACCAGAUACUGCUUCACUAUUAUCCAUUAGGUGAGGAUAGGGUUGAAGAAGCUGAAUAGGUGAUGAUGACCUCAAUUGAUGCAUUAUUUGAGUAGUAUUUGCAGGGCAUCUUUGAUCUUCCAACAUCUUGUAACAGGUUCUUUCUCUAGCUCUUGCUCUUGCUCUCUCCCUUGACUCCUUCUUAUUCUGAAGAACACAAACAUCUUGAUCCCUCUGUGUAGUCCACUUCAACUUGCUGUUGCCCCUCCCUCUGAUGGAAUUAGUUCCAUUAUGAUUAUCACCACCACCAAAUAAUGAUUUGUUGUUAUUUGAAGGGUUGUUGUUACUGUUACUGCUGCAGGAACAGUUCUUACUCCUUGCAAGCUCUUGGAUUGCACUCUCAGACUUUGUGAAGAGCCACUCAAGUGUGUUGCUUGGCUUGUCAAACUCCAGCAUGUCCUGAAGAUCGAAGAACUUUCGCGCUAUCUCGCUCGAUAGCCUCACCCGGCGGUCCCUUAACCCCUGAGAUGUGUGAAUCUUGCUGUGCCUGUCUUUCUUUGUGGUAGCCAUGGCUGCAGCUGCAGAAGCAGAAGCUGCAGGUUUUGAAGCUCUGAGGAAAUUAGGAACAAUGCUACUAGCAUAGUUAUUACCACCAAGUGGAUCCUGUUGUUCAAGCAAGUGUGAAACUGAAACUGCCAAAUUGGUUGUGUCAUGUGUGAAUAUUGGAGCAUCAUUGAUGUUACUAUCAUGUAUGAAGGGAUGAGAAACAAGUGGAUCCUGAGGAAAAUUAUUGAUAUUUUCAGGAUCAAUGAGAAAAGGAAGAGAAGGGUAAGAGGAUGAAGGGAAAGAAGAAGGGAAAGGGUUAAUGGAGUCAUGAUAUGAGGUGGAAGAGAACAUUUGAGGAUUUUUUGGAAGCAAUUGAAAACCCUAGGUUUUGUGUGCACUGAGUGAAAGGAUCACUCUUCCAACACAAAGGUAGCUUCUCUGCUCCAACUUAACGGUCCAAGUACAGUCCUCUACUCUUAUAUAAUCAUUUUCUGAGAUUCCCAUCUCUUUCUUUGAAAGGAGACUAGCUACUACUAAUUAGUACCAUGUACUAUUUACACUCAUUAAAGACUACUUAAUUUCUUUAUAAAAAAGAAAAAAGAGAACUGCAGUUGAGGAAAGUGAGGGAAAAUAAAAAGAGGGAUUUAGUUUGGGCCAAUGAAUUGAAGAAGCAAUUUGAAAACAGCUUCAUUUAUUUUGUCAAUACUAGCUAGUAUGAUUGUUGCCAAUCUGAAUUGGGGCACAUGUACAAGAUAUAGCUCAAGUAUAUCAGACAGCACUUUGGAUCAAAAGGACACAAAUAAUUAAGUUAAUUGGCAUAAGCUUAAAGGAAAAUGUAAUGCUAGCUACAUUUAUAAAAUUAAGAAGAUGUUGUUGAUGAUUACUGGUGUGAAGUAAACCUUUAUAAAAUUAAGAAGAUUAUGAUGUUGUUGUUGUUGAUGAUGAUGAUGAUUAAGGACAACUGGACAAGUGUUUAAUGAUCAUAGAUUUUGACUUAGAUCUUUUAAUUAUAGUAUAUCUAAAUCAGUUUAUUUUUUCUCAAUAUCAAUUUUAUAAUUCAGAUGCUUCUCUUCAAAAUUCAGUUUACUUCAAAAUAAAGUAGUUGGAUUUCCAUAGUUUAGAAUAUAAUUAAUCAGAAAGUGUAGUUGUAUAUUAAUAUAGAACUGAAAAAGUGAAUAGUUCUGUACUUGUGGAUCUGGCUUUGGUGGUUUUUAUCCGAAAGGUAAGGGACUUUUUGAAGAUGAAAGCCGUACAGGGAGUGUAAAAGGUAGGUGAGAGGCUGUGAUAGCUGUUUCAUCUGUGUAAAAUCAACCACAAGUAUAUAUUGAAUAAUGUUACAAUAUACACCUUCACCUGUUAAUUAUGUACCCACUAAAAAAUUAUAUACAAAUUAAUUAUCAUAAAGUUUAAAGUGCCCAAGAUUUUGUUUGGACUUGCUCAAUUAAACUUAAAGUGUCGAUGUACAACAUUUUAAUUUGAAAGUGAUGAAGGUUAAACUUUAAAUCACUUGAUCAUAUACACUCCGAUAUUUUAUCAUGAAAUCAAAGUUUUGUUGAUAAUGUAUGGAUUGAGGAAGUUCAACCGGGUCUAGGAUCAAUAUUGUUUGAUGACAAAUCCUCUUCCUUUGUUUCUAAUCAAUGAUAAUUAUAUGGUUUGCCCGUCAAAAAAAAUUUGUUGGCUAGACUGUCAUGAAUAUUUUUAUAUUUUAUUUAUAAUAUAAAAAAUUAUACUUUCAUUUUCUAAAAGGCUGAAAAAUAGUGCGAAUUAAUUGGUAACUACGAAGUUCAAACUUGGUGUUGUUUUUGAAUGCGCCCACACGACUUCAUUUCAAUCCCGAAAAAAGCUCAUACAUCUCUGACACCCUUUGCAGCUUCAACAUGGAUACGUACUUUAUAUUGUACACAAAUACGUACGUGCCAAAAAAAGAGUGAUAUUUCAUUUUCAUAUUCAGUUAUCUAGGCCUUCAACUCUUAUGUAGUUUUGACAAUUCAUAAAAACUAAUUUAAUACGCAAGACUUUUGUCCGAAUGAAUAUAUGAAUCCACUAAUUUAUCAAUCAUGUAUAAUAUUUUAAUCUGAAAAAUAUUUUCAAAUAAACAAUAUGUAGAAAUAUAUUUUACCACAAAUAUAGAUAUGUUAUCUCAUUUUAUAAGUAGACAAGUACUUGAUGGAGUUAGUUAUUUGUUGAGUUGCUAGAUAUUAUAUGCGGUGGGAGGAGCUCUUGAACAAACAAGGCAUUGUCAUUGGUUUUUUAGGGGCCAAACAUAAGAACAUGUGAAAAUUGCUUUUAUGGAUAUUAUUCAAGUGCAAAGCCUAUAGUAAGCGCUAUAUAUUUAUAUAAGAAUUUGCGUGUUGCGUUGGUUGAAAAUGAGAACACAUAAGGAUGUGAGCCUUAUCAUGUUCUUUACAUUUCAUCCCAUUUACCAUUCCACCUAGUUACAACUAUAUUGAAGUACCUAUUUGCCUUAGCAUAGUAAAAUGAAAAGCUAGUAAUACGACAAUUGUAUGAACAUUUAGUUUUACUGCGUGUUUGGGUUAAAAUUGUCAUAUUCAUUUUGGAUAGAUUUUUUUUAUAAACAUUAUAGUGAAAAGAGUUAAAUAAAGAUAUAUAUAUAUAUAUAUAUAUAUAUACUUGAAUUGAAAACUUUUUUAAGAUUAUUAUGGAUUUUCUUUGAUUUUAGAGUUUCAUACAUUAUACUUUUGUGUUACGAUUGUACUCUAUGGUUUUCCAACAAUUUUAUAAGAGUUGAUGGUUUGACCAUUGUGAUGGUUUGUAGAGGUUCUACUAAGGUGGAGUACAUUAUUAGUAUGCUUUGUGUCUGAUCUUUAACAUUAUAAAAGAAGUGUGGGAUUUGUAGUGAUGCUGCAAUGGAUCGAGAAAUUGGUUGCAAGAGUUGAUGCAAGAAUGAUUUCACAAGCUAGGUCGGGUCAUUAGCCAGGUGGCACACAUGAGUUGGUCAAUAUUGAUGCAAAAAUGUGUUGUGAUAGCAUAUAUGCAUUGGUUGACAUCAAUGCAUGGUAUGUGGUGACAGUGCAUACAUAUUGACUAAUAUUAAUGUCAAGUGUGUCGUGAUAGCACAUGGGUUUUGACUCACAUCUGAUGCAAGGUGUGUGAUGAUAGCACACAGUGGCGAAACUUGAAGAAAAAAUUUAAGGGAGCUAAAAGAAGAUUUCAAUACAUAAACUAGAAUAUUUUUUUUCCUUAUUAAUACACAUAUUUUCGUAAAAAAAUAGUUUUUUUUUACGGACCCUAAAUAUUUCAUCGUAAAAAAAUAGUUCAUAUAAUACGAAUGUUGAAAAUUUAUUAUAAGUUAGGUUAAUAAUCUUUAAAAUUUACUUGUCUUUCUUUCAAAUUCAAUUUUUAGUUAGUUUCAAAAAAAAAUUCAAUUUUUAGUUUAUGGAUAUAUAUUUUACUUUUGAAUAACUUCUUUUACUUUUAAUGAUUAGUUUUAUGAGGGAGAUUUAUCACAUUUGUAUAUUAUUUUAUUUCAAAUAAAAAAAUAGUUAUAUUUCAAACUCUCACCCUUCAAUGAGUUGGGAUUCAUUUUGAGAUUGUUUGGUAGAUGUACUAAUAAUUUGUAAUAUAAAAAUUACCAUUACAAUUAAUGAUAAGGAAAAAAUAGGUGAAAUCUAAAAAAAAUAUUUAUAGAAUAAAGAAAAUAAGUUUUAAUAUUUUUGCAACUCAACUAAGGCCUGGUCAAAAGCAAAGUGGAACUAGCUGUUAAAAAUGUAAAAAAACCUGUAAAAUGGGGGUUUGAGGUUAGAUUCUAACCUCAGUUAGAUUCUAACCUCAGACCUCCCUGUAGUGAGCGCUGUGCAGAACCACUGAACCAGUAUAGUUGUUAUCUUCUCAUAUACACAUGGUAAUAUAUAUAGCUAUUUGUUAAAUUUUAUUUUUUACCCAAAUAUACCUUUAAAAAAAAUCCGAAUUUUUUGAGGGAGCUAUGGUCCGCCUUUGAUAGCACACAUGCUUUAUUUGACAUUUGGGGUGUUUGGUAAAGUUAUACCAAUCGAUUGAUUGAUGAGAAACUUAUGUAAGAAAUCAACAUUGGGGUUGCACUAUAAUUAUCAACAUAUGAAAAUUCUUGUGAUGGUUUAGUUUCAAGUGAAAUGCACUAUUUAUGCUGGAAAAUGACAAUUUUCUUUGUUGAUGUAUAUAAGCACUGCGAACUAUGAUCGUCAGUGUAAAAAAUGAAAAUUAUGAUUAUCAGUGUAGACGAUCAAGGCUGAAGAUGCAUAUAUAUUACAAUCAUAGUGGAGAUAAUUGAGGUUGAUUGUAAUGGUGGAAUACGCCUCGCGUCACCUAAUACAAUAAAUGAAGAGGGAAGUCGAUCAAGGAACUCUUAGGAAAGUCUCACAUCGUCUACAUGUUGAAGGAAGAGGGAGACUAAGACUAUAUAUUGACUCAAGUUUUGUUUGAAGAUGCCCUAGCACCAGGAAUCGGUUUAAGCUUAUAUUUGUGUUUCAUCUUUUUCUCUUACACUCUUAUUUUAAAAUAUUGUGAGAUGUAGUUCAAAUAUUUGUUUUGAAGAAUAUGAAUGCUACAAGAAUAGUGUUAUGGUUGACGAUGAAGUCUAUGUGUUGCAAUAUUUUUCAGGGUUGUUAAUUUAGACAACAAUCAUAUUUUUCUACAAUUUUAGUUUUUUCAAGUUAUUUUCUUGUGUUUUUAAUUUUUUAUAAAAGGAACCAAUUAUUGAAAACAUAAAUCGGAGUAGAUUGUUUCAAAUCAAAAGAUUGUGACGCGUCAUGGCUACGUAGUAGCUAAUUGUUCCAUGAGAGAGUACUGUUUGGUGUCAAUAAUGCUAGAUUCCAAUAUCAUAAUUAGCUUUUAGCAAGAGUACUAAUGGAGAAAGAACUUUGAAGGUAAGUAUAAAAGAGAAGAUUUGUUUCAAUUGCAUGCAAAAGCAAACGUGAUAACCUAACAAUUAGCAUUCCACAAAUUUGGGAGGAAUUAGGGUUUUUUUUAUCUGCAAUUUAUCUUUCCGAUGUACUAAUUUUUUUUUUAAACAAAUAUGACCUUUAUGUCAUUAUCCUAAUUGAUUUUGGUUCAUUGUACUAAUAUAUUACUCCUAAAAGGAAUAUUAUGAAAAAUAUGAAAUAAAAAGAAGAAUUAAACGAGUUGUAAUUUACAUAGACACAUGUGACAAUAUUAUUUAGGUCACCUUAUUAAGGAUGGUUUAAUGUUUUCCUAUGUAUCAAAAAAAAAGUUAAGAGUGGUUUAAUCCAAAUUUUAUCUAGAGUGAUUUGUUAGACAGCACCUAAUCACAUGAGAGAGAAUUAUGCAAAUGUUUUUGCUAUAUUGAGAGAGAAUUAUGCAAUCACAUAAGUUAACUAGAAUGGUUUAUUGGUUUAUUUAGAAUUUUCCUCAUCGUGAUGGGUUGAGUCAAUUGUGAAGUCAAUCCUGUUAGUCUCCUACAUUUUCUUGAGAACAGGACAUAUUGAGUUGAUAGCCGAAGAUAUUUUAAGGUAUAGAGAUCAAUGACAAGUUUUACCUCUUCAAAUAAUAUUUUCAUUGCACAAGUUUAGUUUAGACUUCAGAACAAUGAUAUAAGAGUGGAAUACAUGUAUGUGUACGGGAUAGAACAUAAAUGAAAUCUAAUGGCGGUUUAAUAAAAAAUUAGGAGAUUGUAAACAAGAAAUCCCUUUCAGAAUUAUGCUUAAGUUAUCAAAAAAUGGAAUGAAUGGACCAUAAAGAAGACAAUAUAAGAUAGAUAUGUAUCCCCUAUGGUCUCAUAGUGGACCGGCUAGUUAGAAUAGCAAUAAUUGCAUUGAAAGCAAAGUAACAGUUGGCAUCCAAUCCAUCAACCAAGAAAGUGAAACGUCCGUUUGAUACUUGAUGUCGCGUGUUUCCUACUAUAUUUUAAGAACAACCAACCUUUGUACUCAUAAAUACCAUGAAUUCGUAUAGUCCAUUUUCGAAGUGGUGGAUAACAAGGUGGGGUACUUACUAAGAAAAUUGGUUUAAGUCUCAAAAUAAAAUAUCAUGUGAUCCAAUUAGACUUUUAAGAAUAAUGCAAGUUGUAUAAAAUAUGUUACCAACAUCUCUUUAUGUGUUUUCACAAGGUCUAAUCACGUUUAAAGUAUUAAAAUGUGUGAUCUUAAAUUUUAAUAUCUCAAACAGACUUCUACUGAAAACAAAACACAAUCUUAACUGUCGAUCUAUCACAAAUAGUUGUUAUAACCGCCACUUGAAAGUGCUCUCAUGAGGUCCGAAAUCUCUUUCACGUUUAAAGUAUUAAAAUGUGUGAUCUUAAAUUUCAAUAUCUCAAACACACUUCCAAAUUAAAAACCAAACACAAUUUUAACCGUCAAUCUAUCACAAAUGGAUAUAACCGCCAACAUAUAGUGGGAAGGCUUGGCAGAAAAAGAUAGGUGAGAUACGUGGUGUCAUGGCGGAAAGAGAAAUAGUUUCUACAAAUUAGCUUACUAAACAUGUAGUUUAAGACACAACUAUUAUUCUUAAUUAAUUUAUUUAUUUGUAGCACAAAGGCGGAGCUCUAGUUGUAGUUACAUGAGCAGCUACAUCAUUUUUGGGUCACUAUGAGCCCUUACACUCUUACAUGCACAUAGAUCAGUUCACUUGGUAAAAGCGCCCAAAAUUGAAGAUAAUGGGCCUCUUCUUCCAUGUCCUCCCUCCUCCCUUUGCUGAGGCUGAGCAUUUGCAAAGUGGGAGUUCCUCUGAUUCUUUAUCAGCCUUUCAAUAUCUUCAGCAGACCCAGGGAAUGCAAUCUCUUUCACUACCUUCUCUAUCUGGCUUAUCACAUUGUCAUCACCACCUUUCAAUUUUUAAUCACCAACAAAAUAACCCAAUUAGAUUAAUUUUUCCCCAUUUGAUUAACCAAACAAAAGCAAUUAGAAUUCAUGUUUCACAUGUUAUAAAGCACAGUAACAUAUAGUAUAUCCAAUUUAUGUAUUAUGGUAUGUCAGCUAGUCAUGGAAACUAACCUGCAAGGAAGUGCCUCUGGUUGUUCUCAGCAUUGAUACCAAAGGCAAUGAAAUUGAGAUCUGAGGAAGCGUUUAUUGCAACUGGAUGACCUGCUGGGAUCACCACAACAUCACCAGGAGACAACCUUGCUCUGAACCUCUGAGCCUCAAUGCGAGGUUGUUCCUCUUCCUCUUCUUCAUCUUCUUCAUUUCUCCUCUGCUGUUGUUGCUUCCUUUGAGCCACAAGUUCAAACUCUCCUCUUCCUUCAUUCACCACAAGAAUCACUGUGGACCUUGAAUUGUAGUGUGGCAGGAAAAUAGAUCCCUAAAACAAAACAAAAAAGAAAAAUUGGAUCAAUAUAUUAAGAACUAAGCAGGUGAAUUGGUCAUAGAAGUAACCUCAAUGUCAAGUUUAAUCAGUAAUUACUAAUUUACCUCCCUGAUCUCAGUUGAGCUGAGAAAGAUGUCAAAGUCUCUGAGCUGCGAAUUUCUGUUUGGAUUGAUCUCAAAGUGCUUGCCAAACUCGUUGGAAUAGAUUGGAUCACGGCUUCUCAAGUUGAAUGGCUCAGGUUCAGAAGAAGUUCUCUUUCUUGAGCUGGAUUUUGCAUGUCUGCUUAGUUGUUGAAUCAGAUCCCGUGACACUUUCACUAUCAAACCCUGUUCCUGCCUCUGUUCUCCUCCUCGUAACAGAACCCUCUCUAUCUCAUUGUAUUCAGCCUAUGAUAUGCAUAACCAACCAUAAAAAUUUACAAUCAUAUAAUUAAAAGAAAGUGAUGUAGUUAAUUAGAUAAAGACAUAUAUGGAAACUUACAUUGAAGGAAGCCUCUAGUAUAUUCCUGCUGAAUCCAUUCAGGUAGGAUUCUUGAGGUUCAGUGUUAGAGGGGUAGAAAGCCUGUAGUGAACCACAAAAAUUUUAAACUUACUAGUGUUGUGUUGCAUGAAAUUGGAAAAAGCAGAAAAAGAAAAUGAAGCUAGUGUUACCUGAAAUUCGCCAGGUCUAUUAACAGGAAUAAUGAUUUUAGCGAUUCUGAGAUUCUCAUUAUCAUCAUGGUUAGCUACAUAAGCUAUGGUUCCUGCAGGGUGUACCAGGACAUCACCCCUCUCAAGGUUGAAGGACUCUCUGUCAUUAGGAUUCACUAAGGUAAUUAUGGCUUUCCCUGCAAUCAAACAAAAUCAUAAUUAUGAGUCAUUCAAUGAAAUUAACUAAUUGUGGUGCUAAUUCUUAACUUAAUUGAUUAAUAAUUAAUUACCACUGAGGAUGACAACGAUGGAAUCAGCAUCAUUGUGGUGAGGCAGAACAACGGUAUGGGGUUUGGCCUUAAACUCAAAAAUUCGAUAGUUUUGGAGAUUCUCAAACAGCUUUGAUCGCUCAUCGAACCUUUGGAGGACACGAACGUAACCGUAUUCAUUCUGGAAGCGAGUCUGGAACCUGCUAGAACUAGACCUGAAGUAGAAGGGGUUCCUUCGUUGACUCCUCCGUGAGGACUCUGAAGAAGAAGAAGAAGAACCUUCCUCUUCUUCACUCUCACGGUGGUGUGGUCGACGAGGUGUGUCCCUCUCCUCUGUCUCUCGCCUCCAUUUCUUUGCUCGCUCUGUUCUUUCCCUCACUCUCUCCCUCUCAUCAGGAUCUUCAAGACGGCGAGAGCCUCUCCACUCUCCUUCUUCUUCUCCACGUCCAGGUUGCCACCAUGGUUGUCGUUCAUCUUCCUCCUUCUCACCCUCCUGGCGUGCCCUUUCUCGAUGUCCUGGCUCCUGAUGUCGUUCACGUUCUUCUUUUUCACCUUCCUCACUUCCCCUGGUCCUUUGAUGAUGCUUUUCCUCCUCUCUUUCAGGUUCAGGCCACCAUGGUCGUCGAUCAUCGUCUUCCUUGUCAUGGGAGACAAUGCCGUAACAGACAGAAACUGAAGCUAGGAAGAGAAUUCCCAGCAAAAGUAACAGAGGAAACCUUGCUUUCAUUUCAGUACUAGCCAUGAUGAGUUGGAUAAGAUUGAACUCACUCUUUGUCGAUGAUGAUGAAACUCAGGGGAGAACAGGGGUAUUUAUAGUUAUAGAAGUGAAAGCUCCUCUGUUCUGAUGAAGAUGCAGCGACAUUUGGCCACAGAGUGGCAUGCAUGUGGACAGCUCAAUUGCAUACGUGUUGUUGUGCAUGGAGUUUGGGGUCCAGUUCCGAUGGACGCGGCGGGCUGCAUCUGCUAUGGUGGAUAAAUGAAGCGAACCGGCGCGGUUGUGUUUUGUUUGAAUUUGAUGAACUUGGACAUUGUCUUCAGCUGGGUACGUAAUGUUUGUCUUCCUCUGUCACGAUUGGUUUGGCUUUUUGUGCUGAUCGAGAGUGUUAAUGUUAAGUUAAUGUGUGUGUUCCACUGUCAAGAUCAAGACAAAGAACAGAUAAUUACUACGGUGUAGAAACGUCACACACUCACACCAGUAACUGAUCUGUGCGGCCUAUUAUCACAUGAUAAAACCGGAAGCUAAUACUUAUUUAAGUUGCAAAUGGAGGCUUAUUAGUAAAUUACUAACAUUUGCUACAUCUUGCUCACCGCAAACACUCUUUAAUCUCUCCUUUUUGAUUAAUAUUAAUUGUGUUUGAUUUUCAGUUUGAAAGCCUGGAACAUUGGAAUUCAAGAUCACACAUUCCGAUGCUCCAAACGUGAAAAAAGUUUGAACCUUUGUUGGAUGAAAACACUUUUAAACUGAAAAUCAAACAAACACGCUAUUAUUACACCUCUAUUCUUAUAUCUUUUAGGUGGUUUAGUACACCAAUUUUAAUGAAAUAUAUAGAAUCCGACUCUCGGCAACAGGCAUUUCCCUCAAUUAGCAAAUUUCUAGCCGUUGGAUCAAUCCAAUGGUCUAGAUUUAUCAAACAUUAAAAAGUAUUUUAAUUGAAAACACCAACGCGCCGGUGAAACAACCAUAAGAAUUAAGACGCAUUUGAGCUUACUUAGAAUAAUGUUUUAUUUACUCUUCUUUUUCACCUCCACCUCCAAUAAAUAAAAAGAGAAAAGAGAAAAAAUAGUGAUAUGAUAUGUGAUGUGACAUGAAACGCGGAGAGAAAAAGAAAAAUGUGUUAAGAAAAAUGUGUUGAAAAGAGAUGAAAGAGAAAGUGGAGCGUGAAUGAAUCAUUACUCGCUUACUUAUGCAUUCCAAUUUGGAUCAUGAAUUAAUUUCUUUUAUUAAAAAAAAAAACUACUUGAUGUCCUUGAUAAAUAAUUCUAAUUCUAAGUUCUAACACAUAAAAGUAGUUAUCUUGUUGAGUUUCUAACUCUAUAUUAUGUUUAGCUAGUAUGUCCAAUCUAGAUGCUAUUUGGAUCAUGUAAUGAAAAAGACAAAGAAUACCAAUAUUUUCAACAACUAUAUUAGAAGAAUAAAUACUAGAAAAUAGAAGAUGAGUAGGAAGCAAGAGGUAAGAAAUAUAGUAAAUUUUAUAGGUUAUUUGAUGUGAUAGAGAAAGAAAAAAAGAAUACAUUAUUUUGACCGCCAGUAAAGUGUGCAAAACAGAAGAGAACAAAAGCAUGACCUCAAUUCUCUCCAAUUUAGAAAGGCCAUGAAAAGUGGUCGUUCCCAGCACAUUCUCUCUCCGUUGUCAUCUCAAUGUCAUACCAAACAAGAGUGGUUGCUCACUUUCUCAGCCCCUUGCUCUCUUGUGUCACUCUCUUGUAACUCUCUCAUAACAAACAAACUAAUUGAUUUCUGAGCGAGGAGCUUUUUUCUUCCAUUUUAAUUAGUGUUAUAAUUUUAACAACUCAUCCGGCUUUGUCGGAGUUUCAAAUACUGUAGCUUUCAAGCUCAUAUUAUGGCGUCUGCAGCACUUGAAGGGAUCACACUUUUAUACAGUGUAAACAAACAACAGAAGAUGUUGAGAAAGGUGAUGAAGGCGGAGAUGGAAGCAACAAAGACGAAAAUUGCCCGUGGAGACAGCAAUGGAGGCGGUCGGGUGCAUCGAUGGAGACAUAAGGACACAGUGACAAAGAUGACUAAGGUGGAGGAAAAGGCAAUGGGGUGGAGAUCAGUUGCAGCCAAAGAAAAGGAGAAAAAAAUUUGACCUACUUAGGUAGCAAACCACUUAAUGUGGAAGAUAACUCACCUAUUGUGAAAAGAAACAUCCUCUAAGCGAAGAAGAAGCCUUCCUAGAGGAGGAGAACCCCCAAAAGGGAUGACGACGAUCUCAUUAACUCUCCUCUCUAGCUCACGCUCUGCUAGGGCAAGAGCACAACAAGUUUUCAGCCUAGAGUGUACCCCUAACUGCUUGUUUAUGCUAAGUGUGUGUUUAGAAAGUUCUCAUAUAUGAUUAGGAGAUUGGGCAAAAACGAUCAACGAUAUCAUACCUCAAAUAUACACUUUUUUUAUAAGCAAAUGUUAGUGGUUAGUAAUGUUAGUAAAUUAGUCAUCCUCAAGGUUCGAACCCUGGACCCUUCACCAUUCAACUCACCCAACGCUUAUUUCCCUAACUCUUACCACUUAAGCUAUUUUUUGGGAACUAAUAUACGCCUUUCUCACAUUUGAUUCUAAAUCAUUCAUUUAUUAAUUUAUGUUAGUCAAAGCAAUUAUGUUAGUCAAGAGUGCAGGGACUAUGAAAAUUGGCUAGGCGAUGAUGGUAUGGAUAAUGGACCUGCUCAUUGGACCACACCACCGUCCGGUAAGCUCAAGAUUAAUACCGAUGGUGCUUUUAAUGGCUUGCUUGUGAGGAUAGGCAUAGGUGGCUUGAUUCGGAAUGAUGCAGGUGAGUGGAUCGCAGGUUUUGUUGCUGGGAGUAGGGGCGGGUCAGCGUUUAAAGCUGAGAUUUUGGCCCUGAAAUAUGGUCUCUUAAUGGCCUGGAGUAUGGAUGUGCAUGAUAUAGUCUGUGAGUUUGAUUGUCUUGAGAUCAUGGUGGCCUUGCACGAUGACAGAUUGCAUUACUAUGAGGAUGCUUUGGAUCUUUGGGAAGUUAAACAGUUGCUUCAACGUAGUUGGACUGCCCAACUUGUUACUAUCUCUUGGACUGCUAAUGAUGCACUAGAUUUCCUAGCUGCGUUGGGUGCCGAUCGCCAGUGCUUGGUUACUUGUUUGGAGGACCCUCCUUCCCAGCUUCAGCCCAUCCUUUCCUUGCUAGAGAUUUGUUAGCUUUGUAGUUGCUUUGUGAUUCUUUUAAUUUUCCGAUGUACCAACAAAGCAAUUAAGUUCUUCAACAAAUCAAAUUGAAUCAAUAUGUUAAAAAAAAAAAGUUUGAAUCAAUAAGUUAUUUAUUAUUAGUUUUUUAUCUCACUGCUCAGCGAAGUGUAGGUGUUAGAGUAUCUCCAAUGCUAGUUCUUAUUUCUUAGUUCUUAGCACUAUUCAUGUGGGCCCGUAUUGCCACAUGUGUUUAAGCAAUUCUCAAGCAAUUUUUCUCCAACAAUGAGUUCUUAGUUCUUAGCACUAUUCAUUUGGUCACACCAACCACAUUAUUUAUACUUUUUAUUUUCAUAAAGUAAUAAAACAAAACUCAUAAAUUUAUAAAGUAAUUUGGAUGAGAAAGAAAUAAUUAAUAUUUUAAGCUAAGAACUCAAAAAGCAAAACUUCUUAUGUAAGAACUGAGUUCUUAUUUUUAAGAAUUAAGGAGUUCAUGUCAGCGCCUCCAAUGGUGAAGUUUUUAGUUCUUAGUUCUUAACUCCAAAAUAAGAUCUACGAACCUUGCAUUGGAGAUGCUCCAAUGCUAGUUCUUAUUUCUUAGUUCUUAGCACUAUUCAUGUGGCCCGUAUUGCCACAUGUGUUUAAGCAACUCUCAAGUAAUUUUGCUCCAACCAUGAGUUCUUAGUUCUUACUACUAUUCAUUUGGUCUCACCAACCACAUUAUUUAUACUUUUUUUUUUCCAUAAAGUAAUAAAACAAAACUCAUAAAGUAAUAAAGUAAUUUGGAUGAGAGAGAAAUAAUUAAUAUUUUAAGCUAAGAACUUAAAAAGCAAAACAUCUUAUAUAAGAACUGAGUUCUUAUUUUUAAGAACUAAGGAGUCCAUGUCAGCACCUCCAAUGGUAAAGUUCUUAAUUCUUAAUUCUUAACUCCAAAAUAAGAAUUAAGAACCUUGCAUUGGAGAUGCUCUUAGUAGUAUUUUAAAAAGCCUCGAUUUGCAACUUAAUAAGUAGUUUACGUGAUAAUUGGCCGUGCAGAUCAAUUACUGUUGUUUCUUCCUCCGUAAUUAUCCGUUCAUACUUGUUCUUGGUUCUCACGAACACCUUAACACACUCGAUCAGUCGAUCUGUGCACAAAAAGCCAACCAAUCGUGACUGAGGAAGACAAAUAGUUUGUACUGCCUAAAAUAAUGUCUACGUUCAUCAAAUUCAAACGCACGAGGAAGACAAAUAUUAAGUACCUGAACAAAAUGAUAUCUAUGUUCAUCAUAAAAUUCAAUUCAAACAAAACACAAAUGAAGAUGAAGAUCGCCGCGUCCAUCUGAAAGGGCUGGGGCCCAAAUAACAUGCACAAUAACACGUAUGCAUUUGAGUUGUUGAGCUGAGCAUGCCGCCCAAAUCACCCAUCAGCUUAGCCCACGAGCCCACAACUUUCUAGUUUCCUCAUCCAACACUACAGAACAAUAGAGUUUAUUUAUAAAUUUACUUGAGAAAUUUAUUUAAAUAAAUUCAAAUUAAAGAGCUUAUAUUUAUGUAGAUAGAAGGAAAAUCUUUAGUAUAAUAGACGUUGAGGAAAAAAGUGAUCCAUUCCCUACCAUAAAAUAAGAAUGUGGAUUUAUCUUAAUCCUCCAUUUAGUUUAGUUUUAAUCACUAAAAGUCUAAAUCUAUUUCAUAUCAACAACUAUUCUCUUCGUUCUUUUUUAAGUGUUGUUUUAACAUAAAACUCUCCAACUAAGAUAGUAGAUUGUUAAAGUUUUUUUUCCCAUUCUACCAUCUCACAUCUCAAUCAUAAAGUCAUAAAGCUCUCAAACCAAGAUAGUGAAUUGUUAGUUUUUUUUCCAUUCUCUCAUAUCAUUAAACCAUUUACCACUCCCCCGAUCAUAAAGUUAUAAAGCUCUUCAUAGUUAUUGGGAAAGGAGAAUUUUAUGGAUAAUGUGAAGUGGAGUUAUUGAAAAACUAAGGGUAUAAUUGACAAUUUGUAACCUUAAAACAUCAAAAUGACAGUUAAAUAGCAAAAAAAAAUUAUUCUAAAAUGACACUUAAAAAUUAGAAAUGAAUAGAAGAAGUAUAUUUUAACAAAAUUGCUGCUGUAGAGAGAUGUAGAGAGCAUUCUAAUAUAGAGGAUUCCAAGUCUAACUAUAGAAUAUCAAAUUGUUAUAUGGGAUUGUCUAAGAUGUGUUUGUGAGAGAUUGAAAGAGAAGAGGGAGACUAAUGUGAAGUUCUCUUGUUUGGAAGAUUUUUAAAAAGGGAGAAGGGUUUGGGUCUUUGGGGUGUUUUUAAGAACCCUUUAAUACCCUUUUAAAAUCCUUUUUUAGUUGUAUUUAUUAGUCCUCCAAAUUAUGGGAUUUUCGAAAAUUUAGAACUCCAAAACACGGGAAGGGCUUAUACCCAUUUUCGCUCUCUUACCCUCAUCUCCCCUUUCCCCAAAUUCACAAAGUCUAAAUUACUCACUCAAUGAAUAUUGGUCACAUGAUUAAAAGUGAUUAUUUAAACUCUAAGAUCAAAAUUUUAGUCUUUACCAUUAGUUUAUAUCACACCCAAUUCGAAUAAAAUUGUGUCAAUUACCUAUGUGGGUAACUUAUCUUUAUUCUAACUGGACCAAUAAUGUUCAAGAUAAAUAGAUUUAGACUUUUAUAAAUAAAUUAUUAUUUAAAGAAAAAUCUUAUUAGUGAUUUAGACGAUCUUUGUCGCUAGUUGAUGAAAGUUACUUCACUUCCUAAACAAAUGUAAAAGAAAAUGGUUUAUAUUUAUGUUCUGGUUUAAAACACACUUGCCUUGUUACCACAAUAAACAGCCAUUCAUCUUGUUACCAAAAUAAACAGCCAUUCAUCAGAGUGCACGCCAAUGAGAUGGAUGUAAAGCAAAAGAUUAAAAGAAAUCAAAUCUCAGAAGAAGACCCCUAUAAGAGAAGGCAUACCAUUAAUCCUAUAAAGUUAGUGCUGCAGAGAUUUUAUAAACUUUGUCUAUUCAAAACAAUCACCUACUCAAACUGUUAGAUAGGUAAAAUAAACUCCCUACCCUAAGCCAACCCAAAAAUUCACACCACAUUAUUUUUCCUCUGCCACCUCAAUUCUGUUCAUUUCAACACCCGUCAACCUGCAUGGCACCCCGUGUCCAAAUGUUAGUGCAUGUUCUGAUGUUCAUCAGAUCAAAUGCUUUCAAUUCUAUAGCUAUAAAUACCCUUCAUCUCCCCUCAGUGUUCAUCAUCGAGAGCAAGUGAGUUCAAUCUUAUCCAACUCAUAAUGGCGAGUGCUAAAAUCAAAGCGCGGCUUCCUCUGUUGCUGUUGCUGGGAAUUCUUUUCCUGGUUUCUGUCUCCCUUGCCACUGCUUCCCGGCAACGGGAGGACCCCUGCCGUGAGCAAGGUGAAGAUGAACGACAGCCAUGGCAACCUCGCCGUGAGAGAGAGGAACAUGGCCGUGAGAGAGAGGAGGAAGAUGAAAAAGAGUCGAGGCGACCAUCAUGGGAAAGAAAAGAGCGAACAAGAGAGUGGAGGCGAGAGAGUGAGGAGAGGGACACACCUCGUCGACCACACCGUCAGAGUGAAGAAGAGGAGAGUGACAGACCCCGUCGACCACACAGGGAGAGCAAGGAGAGGCCUCGUCGACACCAGCGUGAAAGUGAAGAAGAGGAAGGUUCAUCUUCUUCUUCGGAGUCCUCACGGAGGAGCCAACGGAGGAACCCCUUCCACUUCAGGUCUAGCAGGUUCCAGACUCACUUUGAGAAUGAACACGGUCACGUUCGUGUCCUCCAGAGGUUCGAUGAGCGCUCUAAGCUGUUUGAGAAUCUCCAAAACUAUCGAAUCUUGGAGUUUAAGGCCAAACCUCAAACCCUUGUUCUGCCCCACCACAAUGAUGCUGAUUCCAUCAUUGUCAUCCUAAGUGGUAAUUAUCUACCAAUCAAUUAACUACUGCUAAUAUAUAAUUAAGCAUAAGCAGUUAAGCACCACCUUAACUUCAUUAAUUUCUUUGAAUGAUUAACAAUUUAAUGGUGCAAUUUAUUAAUAUUAUUUUGAUUGCAGGGAGAGCCAUACUUACCAUAGUGAACCCCAACGACAGAGACUCCUACAACCUUGAGAGUGGCGACGCACUGGUAAUCCCUGCAGGAGCCACUGCUUAUUUGGCUAAUCGUGAUAAUGAUGAGAAUCUCAGAGUGGUCAAACUCCUUAUACCCAUUAAUAGACCUGGCCAAUAUCAGGUAACAAUUGUUUACUUUGCUUUUUCUCAUCUAAUCUCAGUCAUUAAUGCCUUUUCCAAUUUGUUUCAUUUUUCCCAGCUAUAGUUAGCUAACUCUUAAUUUGUGUCCUUCCCUACAGCCUUUCUUCCCCUCAAGUAGUGAAACUCAAGAAUCCUACCUCAAUGGGUUCAGCAGAAAUAUUCUAGAGGCUUCCUUCAAUGUAAGCUUCCAUACAUGCAUGUAAUAAUUAACUGUACAUCAUUUAUUUACUUAUAUGAUUAUAACUUUUUAUGGUUGGUUACCUAUAUCAUAGGCUGGAUAUGACGAGAUUGAGAGGGUUCUCUUGCAAAGAGAAGAGCAGAGAGGCGAACAGAGCCAGGAACAGGGUGUGAUAGUGAAAGCGUCACAGGAUCAAAUUCAACAACUGAGCAGGCAUGCCAAAUCGAGCUCAAGAAAGAGAAGCUCUUCUAAAUCUGAGCCGUUCAACUUGAGAAGCAGCAAGCCAAUCUCUUCCAACAAGUUUGGUAAGCUCUUUGAGAUCACUCCAGAGAAAAAUCAGCAGCUCCGAGACUUGGACAUCUUGCUCAGCGAAGCUCAGAUCAAAGAGGUAAGCAAACUACUAGUUAAACUCGACAGUGAAGUGAUCCACUUCUAUAAUCUAUUCGCUUACUUAUAAGUUCUUAAAACACUAAUCCUAUUUCAUUUUGUUUCAAAAUGUAGGGAUCAAUUUUCCUGCCACACUACCAUUCAACCUCCACACUGAUACUGGUGGUUAAUGAAGGAAGAGGAGAGCUUGAACUUGUGGCUCAGAGGAGGCAGCAGCAGAGAGGACAAGAAGAAGAGCAGGAAGAGGAACAACCACGUAUUGAGGCUCAGAGGUUCAGAGCAAGGUUGUCUCCUGGUGAUGUUAUAGUGAUCCCAGCAAGUCAUCCAUUUGCAGUAACCGCUUCCUCGGAUCUCAAUUUGCUUGCCUUUGGUAUCAAUGCUGAGAACAACCAGAGGAACUUCCUUGCAGGUUGAUUUCUAUGACUGACUCACCAUCUUACAUAAAUUGAAUACACUAUAUGUUGCUUUCCUUUAUGAUGACAUGUGAACAUCAUUUAUAAUUUCUUCUGCUUAAUCAAAUUGAAACAAAAAUAAACUAAUUGGGUUACUUUGUUGGUGAUUAAAAAUUGGAAGGCCGUGAUGACAAUGUGAUAAGCCAGAUAGAGAGGCCAGUGAAAGAGCUUGCAUUCCCUGGAUCUGCUGAAGAAAUUGAGAGUCUGAUAAAGAAUCAGAGGAACUCCUGCUUUGCAAGUGCUCAGCCUCAGCAAGGGGAGGAGGAAGGACGUAGUGGAAAAAAAGACCAGCUGUCUUCAAUUUUGGGUGCUUUUUUCUAAGUAACUCUAUGUGCCUGUCAUGUAUGUAAUGUAUGCUGUAAGAGCUCAUGGUGAGCCAAAAAUAAAGUAGUAGGCUCUUCUAACUAAAACUAAAGCUCCACCUAUGUACUAAGAAUAAAUAAAAUCGAGAAUAAAAAGUUGUUUGUUUCCUUAAUCUAUGUUUAGCCUUUGUUUCACUUAUGCACAUUUUUUAGGGUUAACUAAGAUUUUGGUCCCUACAAAACGAGUGGAGUGAGGGCGCUGGCAAGUUCCUUCCUAGAAGAAAAAAUAUAUCGCGUUCCUUCAUACACAAAGUUGUUAGUGUCUAACACGUGCACAGACUAAUUUGAUCAUUCACUGAAUGAGCGUGUUUUGAUUUUUGUCUCAAAUGGGGAAAAAAGAGUUUGCAUUUCAUCCCUGCACUUUGAAAAAUAUCUAGUUUUAGUCCUUGACUAGGCCAAGUGUCUGGUUAAAUUUUUAAAAAAUUCUUAAUACCUAAUUUCAGAAACCUAAUCCCCAAAUUAAACACACAAAUCCUACUUUUCCAAUUUCAAACAGGUAGUUGGUUUUCUAGUAGUUUAGGCAUUGGUAUCUCAUUCAUGAAUUGUGCAGCAAGAACAACAUUAGAGAUCUACAGCAUUGAAAUAAAGAUGUAUGAAUCAAUACACACAGAAUGGCACUGCACCACCAUAGUACCAAAUCACACUUACAGUGAGAGGGAAAAGGUGCAAACUGCACUGCGCUGCUGAUUUAGGCCAUUCCAGUUCAUGAAGAAAACAGGGUAUCCCUUCUUUCCUGUGAAAUCAAGGAUUUCACGAGCAAAAUUAGCAAAAGAUAUAAUCAAAUUACUAGAAAUUGAUUCUUUGGCCACCGGUCUCCAUGGGGAAAGGGGCUCACGUGACUAAUCUGGCUCGAGAUACGGUAGUGAUGUCAUUAGUUACAAAUGUAUUACUUUUUACCUCAAAAGAGGAUCAAACCCAAUUUUUGACUUCAGAGGAGAUCAAACCCGGGCCAAAAGCCUAAAUGAAAUCUCUUAAGAAAAUAAACACUCACCACUUGUGCCCCCUGGUUAAAUUAAAACAAUUUAAUUUAAUGAAACUGAUUAUUUGAAUACGAAAAAUUAAAUCCCUCGAAAGAUAUUUACUAAAAUCUACUAUUACUUAAGGCAAAACCUCAUGUUACUAUUCCUAAGAAACCUCAAAUCCUGGCCCUUGAUUUCAGUUUUCAAUACUCAAUCUCAACUGUCCAUCUUCUUAUGACUUUUCCUGAUUUAUUUUACUUUUUUUGCAUUUUUGUAAUGGGCUCCAUACUGCACAAAUGAGUGACCCAACACUAAUACAUUGAUACCCACUUCCUCUUGGUCAUGUCGCGUGUAUUUCAUCCAACACAGCUCGGCUUUUCCCAUCCAUUGAUCUUGCGUUCGUCGGUUGCCGUCAUCUUCCUCUUGGUUGCGUUCCCCAUUUGCUCUCGUCAAAUCGCCUCUGCUACCUCCGAUUGCAUCAUCGCCGACGCUCACCUUCCCUUCCGUGUUCAAGGAGGUUUAGCUCGGUGGAACCAGCCAUAUUUCGACAGCUCCCUUCAUUCACUGUUGUUUGUCCAUCAUUUUUUCUCAAGUCCAGAUUUGAGUGCAUUCCCAAGGAGAAAAUCACGAAUGAGCAAUGCUUGAGUCAGUAAGUAGUCUAAAUCACUUUAAGUGAUACUGAUUUUCUUUGAUUUUUUCCUACUUUUGAUUCAUCUUUAUCUGUAUUCACUUGAUUUUUUGGUAUGUAAUGUGUACUUUUCGUUGAUUUGAUCUUUAUUUUCAAUUUCAAUUAUUUAUUGUUUGUAAACUGUUGCACGUAUAUCCUUAUAAAUAGGGUCUUUGCUGUGUUGGUGUGUGCAUAGUGGGUCGUAUAAGUUCCUAAAACUAGAGUUGAUCUUGUUUUCGAAUUCAUUGUUUUGAGUUAUAGCAAUGGCUGAAUUGUCUGUGUCUGUUUAAGUAGCUAUGUUCUGCUGUAUAAAUAGGGGAUGCUUGUGUGUGUUGCAAUGACUAAUGUUUCUAGGAAGAUUUUGAAUAAAGGCAGCAACUUCUUUGAUUCUACAGGGCUAGGUAAAUACUAUUCUUGUCAUAUAUUUGAUUACUUCCUCAUUUCAUUGUCACAACUUUUAACUUUUUUCUUAUUACAACCUAUAAAAAUUAAACAGGGAUGGACUUUGAAGGAGAAACCAACCCUCAAUCCUUCGUAUACAGUUUCUAUUGCACACUACUUCCAAUCAUUUUUAUAAGUAUGCACAAGGUUGGUGUUUGUUUCAUUCAAAAAUUGAUGAAAGAGGACUUUUAUGCCAUGAGGAGGAAGAUACUAGAAGCUCUGUGCAAGAAACAUGGCAUCCCUGCUAAUUUGAAGAACAAAUAAAUGGUGGACAAGCUUUCCUUGACUUUUAAGCUCUUUAUUAGUAUCCCCUUUUCUUCAAGUUAAGUUUCUUUACCCUUUUCUUUUGUCUGUUUUGAUCAUUUAUGAUGAUCUAUGUUAUGUUGAUCUGAUAGUUUAUUGAUUUGGUUGUUGAGCUUUUUUUGUGGCCCAUUUGUUUUCUUUAUAAAUUUUCUUCUUCCUUGCUGUUUGUAAUUCUGUUUUUUAUUGGGUUGGAAGAUGUUAGCUUGAAAUUUACCUCAAACUUAUUAGCCUAUUAUUAUUAUUUAAUUAUUUCACAACAUGAGUGUGUGCUAUAAUUUAAAUAUAGUAGUGAAAUUAAUUAAAUUAGCGAAGAACCAAAGCCCUUUGAUGAUGUGUAGGGUACUAUACUUGAAGCCUAUAGUUGGAGCGGAACACUAAAAUCUUCGAGGACAGAUCCUUGUGAUGGUAUCUUUUAUGGUGUAAUGGUUUUCUUAUCUUUGUAAGUGAAUAAUUUGGUAUAUUUUUACCCGACUAUGUUAAGGUCAAAGGAGGACAAUCAGAAGCUUAAACGUGUAUUGGAUAACAAAAUGUUAUGAAGGUUAAAUCUUUAAGAGACAUUGCCACAAAGAAAUAGAGUAGGAGUUGAAUCUUUGUGCAAUAUGUAUAUAAGGAUGAAACCCUUUGGAUUGAUAUAAGUAUGAUAAUAUUUCAGUUUCAUUUUGUGUCUGAUAAACUAAAUUGAGAAAUUAGCUAAAGGAGACUUAGGAGGUUCAGACCUGUUCAUGUGAGAGCAAGCAGUCAUGGUUACAUAUUUAUCUCAAAUUUAUUUUUUACAUUCAAGCUGGUAAACCAACCCAUUGAUUCUCAUUUUUGCCAUCCAUUCGAGUGACUUGCUUUUCUGGAUCACAUGUGUCUCAUAAACUUUUGCCUUAUCACAAUUCUCACCAUGACACCAUCUAUGUUCAGUGGAUUACCUUUAGUCUUUUCUUUGUACUUGUGUGUCGUUCUCGCGGUUGAGUUUUACGGGAGGUAUUGUCAGCGUGUUAAAAAUCUUAGUCUAUAUUAAUAUCUAUGAGGCAAUGAGAGACUCAUAUAACAUGAAAAAUCAAACACUUACUUUAUGGAAUCUCUUUCUUAAGUUUCCUCCUUAACUUGAAUUUUUAGAGUUUCCACCUAGAAUCCACUUCUUCAUCCUAGCACAAAGGUUAACGGUUUACUUAAUUUAGGUAGGCUACACCUAUCACAUGGUUAUUACUUUGAUUUAUUAACAUGCGUUGUAUAUAAAUUAAAAAUUUCAGGUUGUCUCAUUGACAUACCUUUCUUCUUUGAUUCAAGGAAUUACCGAGAUGGUAAGUUUGCCAAGCUUGGUGGAUUUGGAAUAUGUUCAAUUGUUCAGUUAUCCAAAAUUUAUGAUUUCUUAGUUUAAGUCCAUUGGUGAAUUGGUUAGAUUAGAGACAUUUGAAUUUUUUUCUUUAAAAAACUUGGUAAUGGGGCAAGAAGGUUUUCCAAGUAUAUUUUUUGGUUAAAGAUAUUUAAUCACUUGUGUCUUUAACUGAUUGAUCUAAUUUUUGCAACUCCCCUGACAUACCUCUCCUUUGCUUUAUCAGUUUUUUUUUAGAAAGUGGUGGAUUUGAUUAUUUAAAAUUCCUUUAGUUCUUUAACUUUUUUGUAUGUUAAUUUUUUUUUUCUUACUUUUUGGUAUGUUAAUUUUUCUUUUCAAUAUGAAUUUAUGUUUGUGCUUGGUGUUCUUUUAAUGUAGUUUUUCUUGUGUAGAUUAAAGGAUGCAUGGUCAACAGAGAAUACUCUGGAAUCAAGAGACUUAUCUGCAAACAGUAUUGGUCAUGUUUAUUAUGCUCUAUGAUUAAUUUGGAAGUAGUAUCAAAGGUACUUGACAGAAAUUAGAUUUUGAGAAAUACAUAAUCUUUAAAUUUAAAUUUUCACAUAUUAUAGGCUCCGCUUUGUUGGUCAUAGACACUGGUCUAAUGGGUCCCAAUUACUCCAUUUCCGCAGCUUCUGUAGCAGCAAAUUAUUGCUUUUAUGCAACUGCUUAUCAUACCAGAAGAGGGGAAGCAGAUGUUAUGGUGGUUGGUGGGGCUAAAGCUUCAAUCAUUCCUACCAGUGUUGGAGGCUUUAUUGCCUGCAGGGCUUUGUCUCAGAGGAAUGAAGACCCCAAGAAGGCUUCAAGAUCAUGGGACAAAGAUUGCGAUGGUUUUGUUCUGGAUGAAGGCUCUGGUGUGCUGGUAGAACCUCAAACCCAAAAUUUUCUUUAGUAUAUCGAAGUGUAUAUAUAUUUGAUUUACCUAAUGAAAUUCCAAUGCUGACAACUUUUGAUUUUCUAUCACUGAGAACAGGUAAUGGAGAGCUUGGAGAGUGCAACAAAAAGGGAAGCCAAAAUAGUUGCAAAAUAUCUGGAAGGUGCCAUAACGUGUGAUGCUCGUCACAUGACAAAUCCAAGGUCUGAUGGACUAAAGUUGGGGUUUCUAAUGAAGAGGUAAGAAAUAAAAAUCUAAAAGUUUUUCAGUCUCUUAGUAUAAGUCACUUUAAAAUAUCUGUGAUAUUAAAUACUUUUUCCUAAGUUUACCCUUUACAUUUAACGCUUAUCAUUAAAUUUUGUUAGUUUUUUCAUAGGAGGUAGUUUAAAAAAAUUAACAUCAUUUUCUUAUUUAAGACUAUCAAAUGUGUGAAAAUUACUUACAUGUAACUUAUAAAUAGGAACUGAGGUAGUAAUAGCAAGCAACCAGGAUCAAAAUGGGCACAUUCGUCUAAAACAAGUUCAUAUUCUCAUGUUCAUGUAAAAGCUGAUGAAUCCUGCUUUGUACGGGGGACCUAUAUCGAUGCUCAUGCCACUUAGCAGGUGACUUGGCUGAGGUUAAUGCAAUCAAACAAGUUUGUAUGGACACAUCAUAAUUGAAAAUGAAUGCCACAAAGGUAAGAAAUUUGUUACUUUUUAAAUAUUUCAGAACCCACAACAACAUCCUCUUUUUGACCUUGAUUGUGAUUACGUCCUGGUUUCAGUCAAUGAUUGGUGUCUUGAGCUUCUGGUGGUUUGUAAGCUAGGCAAUAACAACUGGGUGGAUGCAUCGAACUAUUAAUCAAGAUGUACUUUCCUCAGCCAGAAACUCAUCCUAUUAAUCAAAUAUAUUUCAUUUUGUUGAUUCCCUUUUAUAACUUAAUUUACUCAUUUUUCCUUAGAACUUGGCGGAUGAUGUUACAAUUGACACAGUCCCUAACGUCAAGAAGCAGCCUGAAGUUAAUGUUGGUGUGUACUAUAUCUAUUUGUGCAAAUUGUGGUAACAAUGUAAAAACUAAUGUUUCUGAUUUUUAGUGUACUUUCUGCAGCUUUCUCAAAUUCAUUUGGGUUUGGUGGACACAAUUCAGCUAUCUCCAACUAUGUCCAUUCUUUUAUAUAUCCAAUGUUACUUUUAUCCUUUCACUUUUUUUUUUAUCAAUUUUUGUUUUUUCUGGCUCUGUUUCUAUGCUCCUUGGGUCGAGAUUGGAGAAGUCUUCCUCAAGGGCUGCCAAUUUUCUUGAUUGCUUUAAUGAUGUGCCUUUAUGGAUAAAGGAAUCUAGGAUUAUAGCCCGUCUCCGUGCAAUGCACGGACGAGCAGUUCUGUAAUUUAUCAUAUUUAUUCAAUCAAUUUAUUUAAUUGCAUCUAAUUAACUCACAUACCAAUUAUUAUAAUCUUUAAUAAUUACAACCCAAAUAUGGGUUAACCGAAACAUAGGAGUCAAUGAACUAAUUAUAAACAUAUAACAAAGUUUUAUUUUAAUUUAUCUUUGUCAAUUAUACUUGAACAUAAUUACAGUGUUAACGUUUUUGUUAGAGUAAAAUACACUCACCCCCCUCAAGAUUUGUGAGAAUAACACUUAGCUCCAUUCUUAUCCAAAAUAUGCACUCCACCCCAAUAAUAAUCUCACAAUUACACUUAACUCAAUUCUUCUCUAAAUUCUACACUCCACCCCACCCCCUUUAACACCAUCCAAAAGAUGCUAACGGAAUAUUCUUUUAACUCAAAAUUAAUUAAUUUAAAUAUAAAUACAUUACAUUAUCUUCUAACUAAAUAAUAAAUAUACUUGUUUUUUAAAAAAAAAGUAGCACGAGAUAAUCAUUGCUCAUUCAAGUAAACAAAUCCUUGUUAUUUGGAGGGCAGCACAAAUGAUUUACAAUAAAGCAUGUUCUGGCCUUCUUGGUGUAAUUCAAAAUUCAUAGAACUAGAACAUUUCUUAAACGAGAACAACUUCUGUUUUACUUCUUCCAGAUCUGAGUUACGUAGCUUCCAGCUAAGUUUGAAAUCAUCCUCUUCAAGGCAAAAACAUUUUCCAUCACAAAUUUAGCAAAACUUAACUCAAUGUCAGAACCAUCAAAACUCAAAAACUUUACCACUAAGUUUACUACAAAAAUUUGUCAAUAAGUUUACUAAACUUUCAAAAUAUAAUUGUGUUAUGACGAUAUGUGAUUACCUUAGUUAUUAGGUUGUAUGAGCACUUAAGCACAUGGCAUUUUAAGUUCUAAAAUAUAUGUUGUUUAAGGUUAUACACAGGUAUUAAGAACUCAUCAUUUGAUAAAUAUUUUGACUGAAAUACUCCAUAUUUAAAUUUGAGUUAUAUUAGAGAGAGAAAUAUUUUGACCAUAAUAAACAUCAAGUUUAAUUAUUAUUUUUUAUUUGGAGGUAUUCAAAAUAUUUUAUAAAUAUUUAGAAUAUUUACAAAAUUAUAGUACAAUUAUUAUUUGGUUAGAGGAUAAUGUGAUUUAUUUAUCAUUUAUAUUUUAAUUAAUUAAUUUGAGUUAAAGGAAUAUUCCGUUAGCAUCUUUUGGAUGAUGUUAAAGGGGUGGGGUGGAGUGAAGAUUUCAGAGAAGAAUUGAGCUAAGUGUAAUUAUGAGAUUAUUAUUGGGGUGGAGUGUAUAUUUUGGAUAAAAAUGGAGUUAAGUGUUAUUCUCACAAACCUUGAGGGAGGUGAGUGUAUUUUACUCUUUUUGUUAUAAAUAUAUGAAGGCUAAGAUUAUAAGUCAAGAGAUAGUUGAAUAUACAACAAUGUUAAUUGUUAACAGAUAUUUGAAUAUACAAUGUUAAAGUUUUUGUUAUAAAUAUAGGAAAUAAUAAAUAUACAACAGUAAGAAACCUUAGUGUUUUAUUGUUUUUGGUUUUAUAUGAUUUACUAAUUAAGUAAUCACCAUAAAAGAAAUAAAAACAUGUAAAUAAGAAAUAGACUCCAAAACAAGAAACAUAGACAGCCCAAUCUGGAAAAAAAAUGUCAUAAGAGGAAGGUUUAUUUUAGACCACAUCUAUAUUUCUUAUAAAUAGCAUGAUCACACAAUGAUCCUCUAACAAAACAAAAACAAUAUCCAACAUCAAUCUAUCUAGCCUAUCUGGGACAAUGAUUGACCAUUGUUUUAAUUAAUGGCACAACGUUACCCAGAUUAUUAAGUUACACAAAAAGCAUCCAUAUUUUCUUUAAUGGUAGAACAAUAAAUUAGGGAAAAUUAAAUGCAAACAUUUUUUUUAGAUAAACCCCCUAAAACAUUGAAUUAAUUAGGCUUAAAUAUGCUUUUGCUCCCUCUAAAAUAAGGAUAUUUUUGUUUAGGCCCCUCUAAAUAAGGUAUACAUCACUAAAUGCAAAAUCAUACUGAAUACAAAAUUAUUCUGUCGUCACCUUACAUCGUUUAAAAUGACCUAAACCAAAAAACUAUGAUUUUAGAGGGACCUAAGAUAGGAUACCUCUAAAAUAUGUCACGUCAAUGUCUGUUAUGUAAAUGUAACAACAUGCGCUUAUCCUAAUUGCCUUUAUGACAUUAAUUGUGGAUAACACUCCAUCCUCACCACUGGAUAAAUUAUGAGUACUGAUUUCCAAAUUCUUCACACCUGUGAUUCAGACUUUCUUAACUUGCCAUUUGCAUCUUCAGUAAGCUCUUUUCCAACCACCUUCAAUUUUCUUUUCACACACUUACAAACAGCAGACUGGUUGCUACUUGCUACUAUCUCCAUAUCCAACAGUAUCAACAAUGUUCUUCAUCAACAUCUGUGACCUGUGAAUCCCUCUGAAUGUUAGUAAAUGAAAGAAAAACUUGAAGGCACCCACCUAUACUACUUAAAUUUACUAAUUUAGUAUGCAUUAUAAUAUACCAGUUAUCUCUAGAAUAUCAUAACAAACUAAAUAGGUAAGAAACAAUACAUCUAUGACUUGUAACAAAAACAUAUAUUAAUAAUAUUAUUCAUUGUAUUUGGACUAUAUAAAAGGACAAACAAUAAUUACCAUUGUUGACUUGGUACUUGUUAUCUCAGAGAAGAAACGUGACACAAUCUCAGGAUCAAAACAAAUUCAAAGAACUUCAUAGCAAGGAUAACCCUUAUAUGUUAUACCAGGAACCCUACAAACUUUAAAAAGCAUCUUCUUUUCAGUAACUUUUUCCUCAACCUCCAGCGGAUAAUCAACAUCAACAUCAGGCUGUAUACAAAAUUAAAUAAAGAACAUGAGUAAUCUAUUUUUUUGAUAUAUCAUGUUACAACUUGUUGUAAUAGGAAGGGAUGUCUCAACUGCAUCUUCCUUUCCUCUUCCUCAACCUACUUGCUUAUCAACAUGUCAUUCAUAUUGCUCGUCAACAACAUGGCACAGGCGAGCUCAACAACUUCACUUGAUCUUGAUCUUAUUUUUGGUGUGAGGGAAAGUCAGAAUAGCUCAUCAAAGUAAUAACACAAUUAAAUGAACUUCUCAAAAUAAGCUGAACCAAUACUCAUAUUUGAGAGUAAAUUGAAGGUAUAAUCAUAAGGCUUUACAUAAGCAAGAUAUAGAUUGUUGCUUCUACCUUUCUAAAAAAGAUUAACAUUACAAUUGAAUCUACACAUCACAAAUUGAACUGAGCUUGUAAUCAAAGUUGAUAAUCAUCAAAUAGAUUUACAAAUGUAACUAACUUUUGAAAUGAAAACAUUGAUCUUGGCUAGGCAAACUGUUGAGAGAGCAUUGAGAUAUUCUACUCUCUUUCUCUCUCUUUUAGAAAGCUGAAACGAAAUCACAUCCUCUUAAGGACUUUCAAAAGCAACACCAUUUUUAAAUGUUCUAAGCAAUUUCACAUGAUGUAAAUUGAAAAGAGAACAUGUUACAUAUUUCAUUAUUGCAUGAAGUAAAACAUUCAAGCAAAGCCUCAAAGCUAAAUCCAUUUUCUUGUGAGCAUUUCAGCAAAAACUUUAUGAAGCCAAUGAAUUCUCUUUUCUUAUCAUAGAAUUCAGCUCUUCAUAAGCAUCCAAUAACGGUGGUAAUUUUCACUAUUCAUCAAAGUUAACUAAUUUUGAAAUCUGUAUCCUCUUAAGAACUUUCAAGAGCAGCACCAUUUUAAAAGCAUCCCACAUUCCAAUAAAUCAAUACUUAUAAAAAUGAAUCAUGUCAAAGUUGUUGACAUUUAUUUAAAGGAAGCAAUGGUGCAUGAAAGCAUAAGACAACGAUAGGGAGUACCUCAGGUCCUUUGUGGGCAGUACCGUUUUGUUUGUCAUGAGCAUUGCUCAGUGACAUUCUUAAUGACAUCCCCAUCUACAUAAAAGUUCUGCUUAAAUUUCUCUGUAGCACUUCUGUCUCAUAACCAUCCACGAAACUGAGCCUCUUCACUCCAAUCCUUUUCUAUUCUCCACUCCUUUUAAGCUUUUAUAAAGCAACCAAAACAGUCAGCUACUAACCAGGUUGACUCCUUAAACUGGUUAAAGAGAAUUCAUGCCUAGGAUUAAAAUUAUCAGUCAGUAACAUAAGUUUUGGUUACAAGAUUCGAGAGAAAGCAUCAUAAAACAAUUAACAAAUCAAUUUCCUCUGAUUUGGGUACUAACUCAACAUGCCACAUUAGAGUAUAUUUCAAUUGAAUCAAUUUAUAAAAGAGAAUGAAGAAAACACCCAUAACAAGUGGUGCUUCCUAUAAACUUCUGAAAAUAUACCCUUUUUAAUUCACUCCUAUGACACUAAUGUGCUAAUCAGGUAAACAACACACGGUGCAUUAAACCACAUAAGGGAAAUUAAUCAGAUAUAAUUCAGAUCAAAGGUAAAUGUGAGGUUCCCGUAUUAAUUAAAUUGAUGUAGCUGUAAGAACUUGCCAUACUCAUCACAAUGAAAAGAUUUAAUAUCUCUGGCUAACAGCAAGUAUGAAGCAUAGAACAAAUAUUUGUACCAUCUAUGUGCCAUCUUAAAAUGAAAAAGAAAAGAUGAAUGAAGCAUAGACAAAUAUUUGUACCAUCUAUGUGCCAUCUUAAAAUGAAAAAGAAAAGAUGAGUAGGUAAAUAAACCAAGUCAUAAAUUUGAAGAAGCUAGAUGAAGAAAGAGAUUUAGCAGAUUUUGCUGCAGGGUAGGAAAGAGUGCAUAAGAGGGUGCUUUUCUUUUUAUAACAUUUGAAAGAGAUAAGAAAAAGACCUCAAGAGUGAACAUUAGCUCCAAUAAAUAUGGGAGAGCUAACUUAUAGAAUUAAAACUUUCACAUCAUGGACAACAUCUACUAAUUAACCGCAUAAUUCAUAUGAUGUGAAGGGUGAAAGAGUUCAUGAAACUCUGAAUAUGAAAAACAAAAUCUGAACAUAAAGUCAUUUUUAAAGUUGAUUAAUGGAGAAAAUGAACUUACCAUCACCUUAAAAUUGUGUGAGCUUUUCAACAAUUUAAAUGAUGCUCAAGUUCAACUAAUAUGCCAAAAAUUAUGCAUGUUCAGAUAAGCAUAGUAUCAAAGUGUAGCUAUGCCUUAAAAAGAACUAAGAAUGAAGAAAGAUCCCACAUGUUGUCAUAUGCAUUGCUAGUCAGAACUAUAAGUUGUCAACAUAACUUAAGGCCCAAAAUCGAAGACACUUGAAUGCCAAAUAUAUCCAGCAACAGAAUUUAUGUGUGCAAGCAUAAUAAAUUCAAGGGAUAAACCAGAGAAGUCUUAGACUAACCCAGAAACAGAUUGGUUCCAAAAACUUAUUAGGAUAGAAAUCCUCAUAUGCCUUAACUGAAACAGUUUAGUGUUUAAUAAGCCUUAUAUUCCCAAAGAAAAGUAGAAACAUUAAAGAUUAUAACAAGGGCAGACAAGAAUUAUCCGGCUUCAACAGAAACAGUUGAGCAAACAACCAAUUUUUAAAUAGGAAAUAAGAACCCAGAACUUGGGGAAGCCAAAAUGAAUCAAGAAUCAAAAUGAUCAGAAAAAGGAUGAUACUGCCCUGACUUUUGAUCAUAUAGGUUAUCGAACCACAUAGUCCAGCCUUCUUCCCUCUUCUCCCCUUCUUUUUCACAUUGCAUGCACAGGCUAGCUCUGAAAUUAUGUCCUUCCAAUAAGCCGAAUCAUCCAUUUCGUCCUCUUGAUCUGUCAUGCCCCUCUUUGUCUCACAUGGUCACAGUGAAGAGAAUGUUAACAUUAGUUUCAGAAUAAUGGGAAUUAAGAACACAAUGGGGCGGACAAAACUGGUUGUAGGCACAGUUUUAGAGAACAUGAGUAAUCUAUAUAAUCCAAUAUCCAAUAUAAAACUAUAAAUAAAUCAAUAUAAGCUCAUGGAAGCAAAAUUACAUAUAAAUCAACAUAACUUAUACUCAUUGUCAUCCAUCAUCCAUAACAAAGAAGAAGAAAACGAAUUGAUUUUAUUCAAGAAAAUGAACACAAGUUACACAACUACUGAUACUUUUGAGAGACUUAGCUUCUCUCCCUAGAAUUCCCCAAUCUUGCAAUCCAAAUAACCCCCAUUAUCACUACUAUCCCCUACUUAUAUUACUAUGCCUAACUAUCCUUUCUUGUAACUACUAACAAACUAACUCUAUGUUGGUUACCAAGUUAGUGGUACAAUGAAAAUGAAUCCUAUAGGUUAGGGUUCCCUAAAGCUCCUUUACAUAUCCUUUCAUAGAAAUUAAUUGGGAUUUAGUCCAGCCAUACGUGGAAAGAUAAGAUAUGCAUAAACUAAUCCAAUCAACUAACUUAAAUGUGUUUUCUUCUAAGUAAACAAUACAUUUCAGCCAAUAUACUGAAAACAAAAGUUAACAAAAAUAAAGGCCAGUACUGCAAUACAAUGAAUAUAGGAAACUAACCAAUGAGAAAAUCAGAUUCCCCCAUUGUUGCAUCAAUGUAAGUAGAGUUCUUGAGUGAUAAACAAAUAGUUGGAAUAACAUCAGAAUAUUCCUGCACUACUUUUGUUCUAUGAUUGAAGAAUAUCUUGAACUCAUGUUCAGAGGCACAAAAUGCGCCAUAGUUUCCAGAAACACUAAAAUAAGUUAUCUUGUAUACAUUACCCUCUGAAAAUUCACCCCUAAACUUGCUAAGAUAGUUCUUCUUAAUGUAAGCCUCAAUUUUUACACCCAAUACAACAAAAUAAAAUGAUCAAUGACGAAUUACAAACUUGCUACAGCUAAACAUAAAUUAUUAUCAGAAAAAGGAUUUACACAAGUAAAAAACAAAAGAACAAACCUCUGAAGCAAUCAAGACAAGAUUAAGCGCAUAUGGUUUGGAAGGCUCACCAACAGGAAACAUCUCCCACUGAUGAAGAACAUGAACCUUAACUAUCCAUGUAUCUUUGCCAGUACUUAAAAUUCGAAGGGGAUGGAAAGGACAUGUAGUAAACGCCAUGAGUAACUAAAAUUACCAGCAAUAUAGAGAAUAGAGAAAUAGAGACAACAUAGAAAGAAAAGAGGUUAGACUAAGAACACCAGGAAUAACACACAAUAGAGGUAUUUAUAGACAGCUACAAAUGAGAAAAGAGUACAACUACAUUGAAAUAAAAAUUCAAAUGCUUGCCAACAACAAAAUAGCUGGAACACUGUGCAUAUAUACCAAACCUCUGGAAAUAAACUAACAUACCAACAAUCAGCUGACGAAGCAGACAACAUCUAUGGCUUCUGAUACACCUCUUAUACUGACGACGAACAGUGCACAAAUGAACCAUUUUCUUCAAAAAUCUAUUAUCCUCCCUCUGAUUUCCACCUAACAGAAGAAGUCUUCAAGAAACAUAUGUCACAAUGACGAAAUUUUCGAACAACCCAUAUCAAUACAGGUGUCAAACCUAAAAUUUAGUCCUCCUCCUUCCUCCAAAUUUCCAAAUCCCCUCUCUUCUGUCUUCUCAAAUCUCAAAUCUCAAACUACACUUAACCUAACUUCUGCUACACUGACGGGGACUGCAACAAUGCAGAUCAAUCGCAGACAACAACCAAGGAAACACUCUUCUCCUUCAUCCCAUACUUCUUCAACGCAAACCGUGAUGUCAUCUACAGAACGAAACUUCCAGACGAAAGGUGGAAAACAAACGCUCAGAUACGAAUGGCCAGGAUUAAAUAUCAGAAAUUGAGCAGGCUUGAGAUGGAUGGCCCAGAUUCAAAGUUCUCUUAUGAAUAGUGAUUUAUUGUCUCUCUUUUAAGGUGUAGUAGAUUUAUUCAUUCUCUUAUAUAUGAAAUAGUUCUUUUGAAUACAAAGCAUGAAUGAAAGUGAUGUUGUUCUCCCAUUUCUCAUCUCCCAAUUUGUUAAUUUUAGUUUAACUUUACAUUUUCUUAUUGACUCUUUAUUCUUCUCUUUGGUUGCAGUUCUUGCUCAAGAAUGAUUAAUGGUGUCUAUUAUCAAAUUCCAGAAGUCAUAAGUGGUGGUAUUACAUAUUGAAGUUCUUUGCAUAAAUUCAACAUAGAUAUUGCACGGCAAAACUUAAAAAAAAAAGGAUAAUAAAUUAGAACAACCAGAAUCUACUGAAGUAUGGGAACAAUCAACACUUUGUGGGGGCAAAAUAUCCCUAUAGUUGUAAUACAACAACAUAUUAUUGGUCUCUUAUUUAGAAAUUUUGUGGGGGCAGAUGCCCCAUCUACUUGAAUGUAAAUCUGUCCCUGCUUUAUAUCAUUGUUGAUUGGGAAUGAACCUUUGGAUUAUUUUGUGUUUUUUUUUUCUAUUACACUGUUAGUAUUACUUUGUUGAGAUUAAGUUCUAUGCACUAAGAGGGUUAAAAGUUUUACACAGUCAUCCAAUCACAACCUUCCAUUUCCUAUUUUAAAUAUUAUUAAAUUUAACAUUAAUCAUAGACUAGCAAAAUGGAUGGAUACGAUUGAAUUAACCAUAAGAUUGAAUUACUAUGUAAAACUUAUUUACACUGACAGUGCAUAGAAAUUAAUCUCCAUUUGCCUUACUUAUGUUGUGAAAUUCAAAUACGCAGAUUCUCCCCAAUCAUAUCGUAUCUAGCAAGAAUAUUUUGUACACUUGCCUCCUUAAAUAAGUGUUCUCUUUCCAGAUGGAUCUUAGACCUCUUAGACCAGUUGGAAAAUUCCAUGGUAAUCUAUUGGUGAGGGAAGAGGUGAAAGAUAUGCCAAUUCUGGCUUAAAGUGUGAGAAAUGUUGCAAGUGUUUUGACUUCCAUUGGCUGAAUUUAGGAGGCUUGGUGAUACUGUUGCAGUUCAGAGGAUGCAGUUAUGGAAAAUGUCUUAGCCAAAUAGAUUCAGGGUCCAUGUGUUCGCCCGGUAAUCUAUCUUGAAGGAGUUGUAAAUUUGAUCAAUCUCUUUUAAUUAUCUUAUUUAGACCUUUCUUGAAUUUUGGUACUUUGUGUGGUUACAUGUAUACUUGAAUGUAUUGAAUGGUAAAACUAUCUAAGGUUGGCCAUGCAUGUGGAACUUGAAUUUUUUGUGACUGCAUGUUGUUUAAUGUUGAGAGCAGUUAUACGAUUACUCUAUGUCUGUACUUUUUAGAUGGAAAUUAAAUGAGUUUGUUGUAACCAGUUGAUAAAUGGAUGUGAUAAUUCUAUUAUAUACUUUGUUAUUAUUGAAGGAUUAUAUGGUUGAAGGUAACAUCAAUAGGAUGAUUGAUAAAAGAAUCAUCAUGUUAUUUGUGUUACUAAUUAUAAAUAGUUUAGUUAUGUUUGGUUCUACAUUAAAAUAUCUCUUAACUUGUCAAUUUAUCAUUUGGCAUUUCCAACAAAUAUUCUAACAUUCUUGUGUUAUAAUUAUAUUAAAAAAGUGAACCAAUGCAAAAUACAUCUAUAUUAUAUCUAUUAAAGUUAAUAAUCGGUUUAUUAUCACAUAUAUAUUACCAAACUUGAUAAUAAAUUUUGUUGAUUUUAUAUAAUUCAAAAUAUUACAAAAUUUUUGUAGGUAAAUUAAUUUGUUCAUCUUAAUAAAUAAUAAAAUUAAUUAUGUUAAAUCGUAGAAUCGCUCGUCCGUGCAUAGCACGGAAACGUGCUACUAUCCUAGUUGUUCAUAAUGAUAAAUGAGAUUAGCGACGAAAAAUUGGAGAGGGAAAUUUUUUAUUGCAAAAUCCAUCACAGAUUUGCAAGACCGUAAAUUAGCCAACCGCCUCUAACUCCGUCAUGGUCAGCGACGAAAUUUUAUUUUAUCCUUUUGAACUUGUAUCGCUAAACAAUAUAUUAUUUUGAAUGCUUUUCAAAAGAGCUUUGCUAUUUAGCUGGACAAAUUUCAAACACGACAAAGCACUCACUAUCUCUUCAUUGACCAAUCAAAAGAUGUUAUUGCUGAAUGAAAAAAAAAUCCGUGAAAUAAAAGUGAUUUCAAGAAUCAGGUAUCAUUGGUCAUGCAUGUCGUCUAGGAUGGCAUCGUGCCAUUUCGUGUUUCCCUUUCAAGUGGGUUACAUGCAUAACUUAAGUAAAAACAAUUAGAAAUUUGUGUUGGUACGAAACGAGAGCCACAAGCUAUGACCAGUGGCGGAAGCAGGGGGUGCUACCGGCCAUGGCACCACCCAAAAUUUUACAAUCAUUUUGGAAGAUUUUAUAUAAUGUUGAAAAUUAAUUUUGGUUUGGAAAGUUGCACACUUCUCUUUGAUAUUAUCCAUCCAAAAACUUAAUUCCUACGAUUGGUUCAUGCAUUCUAGUUAGUUAUGUGUCUUGUAAUUACUUGAUAUAAGAUGCCAUUAUUUAACCGACUUGUUAAUUGUAUAAAUAGGUAGAGCAUGACUCUUGUUUUAAAAUCAUUAUAGUCCCCCUCACCCUAUAAGUCUCCCUCAGGCCUCCGCCAUUGGGUAUAAUUGUCACUUUUGUCAUCCAUUCAAAUUUGUUGCAAGCAUUACUUGCAUAACUCAUUCUUGCAAUUCUUGCCAAAAUGUUUGUAAUAUAUGUUCUGAUAAAAAAAAAUGACGUGCCCUAAUUGAACAUAUCUAAUAUAUAUAUAUUUAUUUAUUUUUUAUCUUGACGAAUCUGACACAUUAACAAACAAUUGUAUGUAUGACUCUUUUAACAAAUAAUUUAACCUGAUAUUCGAACGUGUAAUUUCAGUCAAGCUUGGUGAGUUAUUUGCUGCUCAACUUUUUGAAAUCCCAAAUUAAUUAGUUAUGCUUUGAAGAUAUAAUAUUUAAUUUCAAUAAGAAGGAGAAGAAGGAUAAAAUUUGAAUGAUCUUUAUAUUAAGAUGGUAAGAAAUUAAAUGAAUGAUGAGCAAGGGGAGAAGGAGGAUAUAAGAACAUGCAUUGAUACAACAAUGCUAUGUCUUAGUACAUGAGAAAGCCUUGCAAAUAAUGCAGGAUCUAAUGUUGUUGCAUCUUCCUGGGUGUUAGUGCCGGGGCUGCGGCCGGGCUCACUAGUUUGUUGUCCCCUACCUCUCCAGCAGCUGCAACAUACAGAGACAUUAGUUUAUAUUACAAAUAAUUAAUUAAAAAGGACAAAAUGUGACCAAUUUCAGAAAAAUAAAUUUGUUUAACUUACCAUAUGGUCGUGGAUUCCCGGCACAGAAUGGACAUGCAAAUUUACAGAGGGCAAUCCAUACUUUGCAAUUCCUCAUGCAUUCAUCAUAGCACGCAACGUUAUUAAGUGUAUACUCAGUCUCAGCAACAGCUACACCUACAAGGCACACCACCACCAACAACAACGCGACACAUUUGCUUGCCAUUUUUUAUCGAUCGAUCGAUUAUGUUUGAUGUUAUUGGUGGUGGUUUGUUGAUCCUCCUUCUCCCGCUGAUAUUUUCUUUGGAGAAUCAUAGGCUUUAUAUACCUGUUUCAAUGCCUUGUGAGCCACACAAAUUUUAUGUCAAACAAGUUGAGAUUGUUGUUGCCCAAAUUCUCGGGUUUCUUGCCACGGUGCUUAUCCUAAUUUGAGCAAAUGGACGAUGAAAGAAAUUAUGGACUAACCGUUAAAAGGUCAAAACAAAACAAGAAGUUGUUCUUCCUCCCUUCAAGGUAAGAAGAUCUAUAUUGAUGGUGGUGAAAGUUGCUACCGUUGCUUGAGCACAUGGAGAAAAUAACGUAAUUCAACCCUUUCAUUUUUAGGUUGUCCCAGGAAAAAAAUUGGUCUAUUGGUGGACCAAUAAUAUCAGCCCUUGAAAGUGGAAAUGUUUCCACUUUUCCACUUUCUGAUUCGUCUUUUUAUCUUUUUAUUUAAUUAGGAUUUAGUUCCAAAUUUAAACUAUGUCCAAUUUUAUUUUACUUUUUGUUCAAUAAACCAUAUCCGAUCAGAAAGGGGUUGUUGAUUUAGUGGUAAAUAAGUUUAAUUUUUGAAGUGAGAUCAUAAAAUCAAACACAUGGAAAGUCAUUUGUUAGAAGUGACCAAAACGAUACACAAACAACUUCACACUUGAUAAGGAAAUAAUAAAAAUAAAAGGUGAUUUCAGUCAGUUGGGGAACAUAUGGGUUGGAGAGGGGAAAAUCCAUAAUUCAAUUGUUGAAUGGUAUAAUUUAUCUGAUAUAUAAAACAGUCAGUUCUAUCUUUUUUUUUCCAUUAGAUAGAUAACAUAUAAAUCUUAAAUAUGAUAAAAAUUAUAAGAUAUUUGAUAUUUCAUCCAUAAUAUAUUAGUCAUAACAUGAGUAAUCAAAACGCAAAUCAAAUCCAUAUCAUUAAAAUAUAAUCUACCCGAUUUUAUGAUUUUAUUCCUGUUCUCAUACUAUAAUACUUAAUCCCCUACUUAAUUAUCUAAUAACUAAUAAGCAGUUUGUGUUUUUUUUCUUGGUUAAGGUAUAUUGUCACAACCGGAAGUUAUACUUGAGAUUAAAUACUAAUUUACAGUAUAGAAUAAUUAUAUCUUCACACCUCAUUUUAGAGGUGUGGAGAGGUGGAAGGUGAGAGAGAUAGAAAAAAAAGGGAUAUGUAAUUGUUGGCUCGAAAUUUACUAGAGACGAAAAGCCAAGGAGUAAGGUGACGUCGAGAAAUAGCUAUAUCAAUGGCUUAUAAAGGCUAUGAAAAUGGCUAAGUGUAAAACGACAAAGUUGUCGACAAGUGCAUAUCGACAAAACAUGGACAUCGUCGUCAAUCAUCAGAAAUGAUCUUUCACGACAGAAUAGUCCAGAAAGAAGAUUUCGACCAACAGUUACCACCACCACUAGCCAAGAACGUGAGAUCAUGGAGAACGUGGGUAGAUGCAGAGUGUGCGGGAAAUUCAAAUUAGAUCGUGGGUAGCUUCUGGAAUACAAUCGGUUGAGGCAAUAAGCCUAUAAAUAGAAGAUCAGAUGUGAGAUAGGGGGUUCACAAUUUACACACUCAGAAACACUCAAAACGCUCUCAUAUCCGAAUCAAAGAGACUCAACGAGCUAGCCAUCAUAGUUUGUCACUAAGUACCUGAUUGUUUGAAUCAGCCAUGUUUUCGACUUUGAUUUCGUCUUUUGUAUUCAAUGCUUUGUACCUUUUAUUUGAAUCAAUGAAGUUUCUUUCUCAGUUAAUUACUUUCAUAUUUCUACACUUUUGUCUACAACGCUUUAUUUAAGCAAUUUUGUCCCUAAACUUUAUUUUUCGUCUUUAAUUUUACUUCUGGUAGCGUUUUCAUUAAAAGAACUUCACAAUCGCUCUCUUUUAUUUGUUUACCAAAAUCACUAGUGAACAAUAAUGUAAUGUGAUGUGAUAUAAUAUGAAAAAGAGAUUAAAAAAAAUGUAUUGUAUAUAAAUAUAUUGUUAGUGUACAUGAACCACGACUGUAUAAUACUUGUUGUAAGGUUUGUUGGAAAAACAGAGCAUUUCAAAAGUUUAGAAAGUCUAAUAUGGUAUACUUGUUGAACUUUUAAAGGAAUUAUAUGCUGAGCUAGUGGGGUAGCUUGUUCUAUUUCGUCAUCAUAAAGAGGAAAAGAGAUAUUUCAAUUCAAUGCAACAAAAAUAAAAUAAAAAGAGCAAUGCUAUAACGCACGACUUAAUACUUGCUCUAUUGCAAGGAAACAAGUGUUCAACCAAUGAGAAUUGCUUUAAAAAGGUCAAGGUAGACCCACCACUUAAAAACAUCCAAUGAAUUUCAGUCGUGGACAAUGGUGUCUCUAUUCGUCGUGUCUAAUAGCAUUUUCCAAUUUUUUUUUUGUUAAUGUAAGAUACUUACAGAGAGCAAAUUAAAUUUGGUUUAAUCAAUAGCCUAUGUGUCGACCUUAGCCAGCUUUCAUUAUAAGUUAUAGCCUUUGAAGAACAAAAUUUCCAGAUUUAGGAAAGGAGAAAAAAAGGAGAAAAAUAUACUUGCAAGUUGCAACAUAACACGUACGGAUAAUAUUUCCAUAAUAUUAUUAAUUAUGAUAUGUGGGGAAAGAGGAUAAUGACAUGUCUUCAUUGACACAAAGUUAAAGUUGUGUCCCUAGUUGAUGAGAAUGCCUUGUAUAAUCUUCCUAUCAUGUUUUGUCUAAUAAUUAAUAACUUAAUUCUUCUUAGACUCCACGGCAGUCUUCUCCUUCUUAGAUGCCUAGCUACGUGGUUAUUCUUCUGCUUCUUCUCAUCUUCAUGUUCAACUUUGUCCUUUGCUAAUUAACAACAUUUUUGACAUCUGCAUCAUACAAAGAUCGACAUUUCAAAAUUACAACCAUGACCGUACUAGCAAAAAGAACGUUGCUAACGCUCUUCUUAAUUUAAUAGGAG